rnacentral:lncRNA from 1 species
AUCAUCUCCAAGAGAACAAUGCCAUAGCUGUACACAUCAACCUUGGAAGUGAUUGGCAAGUUGAAAACCCAUUCAGGUGCCAUGUAACCUCUUGUUCCUCUUAUCCUUGAGAAGCUUGAAUUGUUAAGAUUGUUCCGGUUAAGUAGCUUAGACAACCCAAAAUCCCCUACUUUUGGUUUAUAAUCAGAGUCAAGAAGUAUGUUUUGAGGCUUGAUGUCACAAUGCAAAAUCCACUCCAAGCAUUCUUCAUGUAAGUAGGCUAGACCCCUUGCUGUUCCCGCAGCAAUGUUAUACCUUUUACUCCAGUCAAGCUCAUUUGAAUUUGACGAGAGAUUCUGAGCCAAAGAACCAGUUUCCAUGUACUCAUAAACCAACAACCUAUGCUUUCCCUCUGCACAAUACCCCAACAUGCCAAUCAAAUUCAUGUGGUUAAGCCUUCCAAUGAUGCUUACUUCAGCCAGAAACUCACUCUCUCCUUGGUUUGCUACUUCAUGUAGUCUUUUUAUUGCCACAACUCGAGCAUCAGACAAGAAACCUUUAUACACGGUACCUCCACCCCCCCUUCCAAUCUCUUCACUGAAACCUUUACUUGCAUGUUUCAGUUCAGAGUAAUUGAAUUUCCUAAACCCCGUUGCAGCUGCAAGAACAUAACCUUCUCUAGGUAACAUCCCGUUUUUCCUAAACAAUAAACACCACACCAUAAAGAUGCACACGACCUCAAUACCUCCGAAGGCAAUCGCAAACCAUAAGAUGAACUUCACCAACUCGUUUUCUUUUUCUUCUACGUAAGGUCUCUCAAGUACUUUAACUACUACACCAUUUCUUCCACAAACCAAACCAUUAUUGUUAGGGCUGUCAUCAUAGUCAUGGAGGUGAUAAGGCAGUCUCAGGAAAAAUGAGUUGGUGAAACUCGGUGAACGAUGACCAUUUAACAACUGUGUCUUGACAUAGCACUGACCAUUAACACUCCUCGAAGUGCUGUGCUGAAACCCUUUGCAUUCGCACAACCGCGAGCACAGACUCACGCAUUGUUGGUACGUGUGAUUCUCAAAGAGACCAUAGUCAUAUCCGUAAAAAUCAACUCCAGGUAAGCUUAGAAAGCGAGACUUUUGCUCAGUGUUAUUGUUGCACCAAAGUUGGAAACUGGGUAUGCAACCUUGAGACCAGUCUUCACUAUCAAACCAUCUAUAUCCUGUUUCCAUGAAUGAAGAAAUAAUAAGCAUUUAUACCAAAAAGAAGAAGCUAAGGAUAAUAAUACAUGCCUUGAUUCUCUCGUGCAACUUUUUUCUUUUUUAACCUCAAGAAAUCUCAAACUAAGGACCAACACUACUGCUAGUAAUAAUGUUUCAACUAUGCUAUUUCGAAAAAGCUUCAAAAUUGAAGUGAAUACGUUAAUUUUAAUAAUGAAAACGAAACACUAAUUAUUUAAUGUUAUAAUUAUUUUCUAUUGUUUUUUCAAAUACCUGGACUACAGGAACACUUUCUUCCUAUUCUUGGCUCAUAGCUGCAAAUACUGUUGGGUCCACAAAUUCCAUGAAUAAAACAAGGUUGUCGCCGAAAUAGUCCUGACACAGACCACUUGUUUUCUCCGUCUUUCAUGCUAUACAAACGAACAUUGCCGUCGUGAUCCAGGGUCAAUCUGCGUAGGAGUAUCAUUCCGUAAUCACUUGUUUUGAAAGUGAAGUUAUCAGAAGAAACCAAAUAGCCCAAAUCAUCCACCACAACAACCCUGCUAUCGUUGAAAAUGGAUCUACCAUUGCCGUUUCCAUUCCCGAAGUUAUUGCUCUGAAGCCAAGCGUAAGGCCAGAAAACGCUGGAAACUCGAGGGCCCUGGUACAUGAGGCGUAGAACAUUCUCAAAGUCGAAGAAGAGCUUGUAGAAACCGGAAGAGUAGUUGCUCCCGCUUCUGGAGGAAACCAGGUAGGUGCUCCCUCUCAAAGGCUGAUUUGGAAGAAGCGUGUCGGUUGGGAAAUCAAAGCUCUGCCACAAAACAGCGUUGUCGGAGGAAUCUUCGAGGAGUACGAGGUUGCCGUUGUCGUGCAAACGUAAGUGGGCUUGUUUGGAUGUGGUGGCAGUGGCGGUGGACCAGACUUGGAACUGGGCGGCGUCGGUGAGAACGAGGUUGCCGGAUUUGAGAAGAGAGAGGGUGGAGCGUUUUCCGUUAACGGGGUGGUCCCGGUUGGCGAUCCAAACGAGGGUGUUGGGUGAGUUGGUGUACCAUAUUGCGAAGCAGAAAGCGUUGUGUCCGACGGCGUAAAAGCCUGCUGUGAAUGUUGGUUUGGGUGAUGACACUAUCACGUCUUCUUUCAACUUCUCUACGGAGAGAGACAAGGAAGAUGAAGCAUGCAACUUAUGGAACAAUAUCAGAGAAAUCAGAACACCCAAACACACUCUUGAACAUGCCAUUAGUGGAUUUUCUCAUGCUAUGUUGUAAUAUGCUCUACCUCAUGGUCUUGUUUUAUGUGUGUGUGCGUCUAUAUAUAUAUAUAGAUGAUCCUUGCUCAUGACAGUGACUGUUACCUUCGUUCAUUACAUACUCAUUAGUCAUUUCCUAGGUUUGAAUAUAUGCAUAAUGACAAAAUAUUUCAUGGAAAAUAGGUAAGAUUUUUUUUUGAUUGAAUAUUCUUGAACUGUGCUUUUGCGUGGACGGCGGUGUUUGACUUGACACAAAACACAGUUAAUGGCCCGAGGACAAACAUUGUUGUUCUUGACCAAGACUACUUUGCCUGCUAUUCUGUUUGGAGGAUGAAUCUAAUGUUUUCAUGCAAGUUAUCGUCUUUCAUAACUACAUGGUAUGAAGUCUAUGCUAUAAGAAAAUGGGAUCAAACUUGGUGCCUUUGAACUCCAAAUGCCAUUUUUUUCAACAUCUCCAAAUGCCAUUUUAUUCAACAUAGUUUUGGGCCUUCAUGAAAAUUAAGAAAUCUAUGUAAAGGUUGUUUUUCUGGUUUUGGUGACUGUGGUAACAGAAAAGGUGUUUAUGUAUAUUAAAAAGUGAGGAUAACAACCAUGAAUAGGUGUUUGAUUUAAUUAAAAUUAGAGCUUGGUACAGUACAAUACAAUAAAAAUAAACUCAUUAGCUCCGUUCAAUUACUCAAUUAAUCGGUAAUCAACAAUAUUAAUCAAUUAUUAGCAAUUCUUUCAGAGACAAGUGAUGAUGGAGAAUUCAGAAGAAUUGAUGUACACUAGUGUAAAAUUCUCCUUCAGAGAUGUAAUAUAAUUUGUGUUGAUUAGUGUGAAAUUUGAGUCCCAAAUAGUUAAUAGAAUUGUUUGACAAAGUUUGCUUUGUCUUGUUUUCUUGGAUUGGAUCAGUCUUAUAAAGUCUAGGAGAAGGUUCAACAAUCAAUGGAGGACUAUCUUCAUAAAAUUAAAAGCUUUGUCAAUGAACUUGCUAAUGCUGGCGUUUUGUGCAUCGUGAAGAAUGUGUUAAUGCCAUUCUGGAAGGACUUUCAUUUCAUUAUGUGCCAGUUUUCUAAAAAGAAGUGCACGCCUUCUAUUGGUAAAUUUCAGUGUUAGACCUGUAUAAUAUGGGAAUGAAUGUUUAUCAUUUUAGGGCUAAUUUAUCCUACCAGCUUCAUGAGUCUGUUUCUUUUAUUGAUCCAACCAUCUAUAGUUCAAACACUUUUUUUAAAUGGUGUGUCCGUAUUUGACACACGUAUCAGAUACUGACACUCAUAAGACACAUAUCGAUAAAGUGUCCAAUUCAAAAAAUGUUUGUAGGAUUUAUGAAAAUUCUAGCACGAUUCUAAUACAAUUUUAAAAAGGAGAAAUAAAUUAAUUUUCUAAAAAACUGAAACUUAUUGUAUAAAUUUUAAUUAUAAUUAUAAAAAUAAGAAACAAAUUUGUUCUUGUUGGUUGACCUCAGGUUGACCGGAUGGGCAAGCUUCACUUCUAGUUUGUCUCCUCUUGACGCACUGGAACAACGCUCUGUUAAGACAAAGGGGACUCUACUUGUUGAUCACACUUCGACGAUCAAGUUAGUGAGAACAUACUAAAUAAUAAUCAGUUUCAGUCUCUAGUAAUCAGAAACAGUCUCCCUUAUAUAAUCUCUACUGAAAGCAUAAAAUAAUAACAGAAAACCACAUGCUCAUGGGCACCACUUUUAUCUUUAGAUGCUGACAGCAGGAACACAUUUUGUUUAACAUGUGCACCUUUAUUCUCGGGUGUUCCUAUUUUAUUCUCAACAAUUAUUAAUUAAUAUGUAAUUAACAUGUAUUAAUUAAUAUAUAACUAACUUGCAUAUUAUCACAAUAGAUAAAAUAUCUCUUUAUCUUCAGAAUAAUAUGAUAACAGAUUUAAACAAUAACAAUUAUAUCUUUCAUCUUCAGAAUAAUAUCACAACAGAUAAAAUAUCUCUUUAUCUUUUAUCUUAAUUACCUUUCUUGGACCGACCCCUACCUGGGUUGAGCUCUUGACCCACCUCUAGAGUCCAAACGCCAAGCGGACCUCCCCCAAAUACUUGGACCGAGGUCCCGAGCAUUCCUGUCAAGUACACAAGUCCCCCGGGCUUGAGCUGAGCUUGACUAGGCGAAGAGGCUUACGAGAAUAUAAUCUCAACUAAAAAAUAUAUAACAGAAAAUUAUUCUGCCUACGGGCACCUUUACUCACGAUGCUAACAAUAGAAGAGAAUCUUGUGUACCUUUAUUCAUGGGUGCUCGCUACUUAACAUACAACAAACUAGCUCAAGUAUAACAACUAUUAUCACACACAUGUGAACACUCUAUUACUUACACUAACCCAUCUCUACCUCUUAAGCAUAAAGUAAUAAAGAUAAUAAGAAUGCAACUUAGGCAAAACCUAAGCAUGAAAAUCGUGGAGUCCUUAACUAACAAAGAACUAACCUUUUAAUGAACUAUACACCCAUAGCUACAACAAUCCUAUGCUCACUAUAGACUUGCAUAGGUGUAUCCUGCAAACUUGGCUCGAGGCCAUAUAUCUUGAUCUCACCAAGCUUUUUUUCGCAAAGCGCCUACUCGGCUGAUCAUCUGAUCAUUCACUCACCGAGAUAGCCUGACCUACCAUGCACUGAAACAACUUAACCAUGACAUCUGCGUGCAAAGCACCUAUAACUUGUCCUUACGCUGAGUUAAGUCGUCUUACCUUGCCUCAAAUCAAACAACUUAACCAUAACAAAUUAAACUACAGAGGCCCAUACUGAGGUAGUCGUAAUGACAUCGAGUUAGGUCGUUUUACCAUGCCAAGUACCUUAUCUACAACAGCUUUACCCACAGGGCACCUAUACUCGAGUGGUCGUACUGACAUCGAGCUAGGUCGUCUUACCUGCCACUAGGUAAUCAUUUUAUACACAAGGCCCCAUACUUAGGUGGUCAUAUUGACAUCGAAUUAGGUCGUCUUACCUGCCCAUACUUGAUUAACUCAACAAGCAAAUUACUCCCACAAAGCGCCUAUACUCGGGUAUACGUACUUAUACCAAGGUAGGUUGACUUAUUUGUGCUUAAGAAAAACAAAUCAAUUCCCCAUGGCACCUAUACUCGGGUAUACACACUUAUUCCGAGCUAGGUUGACUUACACAGGCUUAAGUAAAUCAACAAACAAACAAUUGAAUUACAGACAAACACACUUGCACAGACUUACACCGAGCUAGAUCGUCUUAGCCCGUACCAAAUUGAAUAACUCAUCUUCACUGGGCGUUUAUAUUCGGAUGGCUCUAUUCAUUUCGAUCUAGGCCGUCUUACCAUGUGCUAAAACAAAUAAUUCAACAACAAAUUCAUCUUCACAGGGCACCUAUACUCGGAUGACUCUAUUCAUUCCGAUCUAGGUCGUCUUACCAUGUGCUAAAAAAACAAACAAUUCAACAACAAAUUCAUCUUCACAGGGAACCUAUACUCGGAUGACUCUAUUCAUUCCGAUCUAGGUCGUCUUACCAUGUGCUAAAACAAACAACUCAACAACAAAUUAAUCCCAUAGGGCGCCUACGCUCGAGCAUACAUAAUUAUGUCGAGCUAGGUCGACUUAUUGUGUGCUAAUUCAAGUAGAUCAAUAAAAUUAAAUGCAACAUCUUCCAAGAACAAAUUUAUCAUUAGGUGACCCCAUUAAAAAUUCCCUUAAAGAGAAAAAGAGCAUCACCUUAACCAUCACAUUGUUAAAAAAGAAAGCAUUAAGCAUGAAUAUCUUAAUUGAAAUACAACUUGAGGUUUGCCAUGUUCCAUGCUCGAGGAAUGGCUUCCCCCUUCAGGGUCUCUAGUCUAUAUGCUCCAUUCCCGAGCACCUCGACUACGCGAUUCUGUAAGUCUUUGUUCUUCACACUACUCUCGUAGCACUUCCUAACCGCCUUUUGAUCGUCCUUUAUGGUGAUUACUCCUCCCUCCUCUGAAGGCAGCCUCAUCCUCAUGUGAGCCUUCGAGGCUACUACUCCCAACCUGUUCAGGGAGGGCCGAUCUAGAAGCAAGUUAUAAGUAGAAGGCACGUUAACAACAAUAUACCUGAUGGUGAUGGUCCUGAUCGCGUUUUCUUCAGCGAAGGUUGUCCUCAACUCAACAUACCCUCGUACCUCUACCUGAUCUCCCGCGAAGCCGACCAAACACCCCAUCGUAUGGCCUCAAUUGGUCAUGAGAUAACUGUAAAUUGACGAAGGUCUCCCAAAACAUCACGUCAGCCGAAUCAUUCUCAUGAGAAACCACGUCCUCUAGAUCAGCCCCUGUGAAGCAUAGGGCAGGCUCCUAAGCACGAUCAAGUCUCCUCUUCUCUAAAGACAUCACUUCCCGGGCAUAUUGUUACGUUUGGUAGCCGAGCUUCCUCCUCUAGAAAAUCCUCCAAAGAUGGUGUUUAACUCCCUGUGGACCGGUAUCUCAUGUAUCGGGUCCUGGAGGGCAAUCUCCCCCUGUGGUCUUUCCUGUUUGUCCUCGAGAUACUCCUUCAAGAACCCCUCCUUGACUAGGUCGGCUAGUUGGUGACCCAAGGCUAUGCAUCGCUCCACGUUAUGCCCAAAUGCUUUGUGGAACUCACACCAAACAUCUUUUAGUGAUCCUAAGUUCCGAUUCAUCUUCUGGGGAAACUUCAACUUAUCUCUUACUCUCAGAAUGCUCAUGAGCUUUUUGUAGGAUACCCAGAACUUAGGAAGAGCUUAUACUCUUCCCUUGCCUUCCUCGACUUGUCUUUCUUGGCCACAUAAGGCACAUACCUCGAGUUCGUUUUCUUCUCAACUGAGGUUUCAUAGACCCGCGGAGGUCGGUCUCAGCUGCUCUCCUUAGGGUUAGGCUACCUAGAGCACGAGGUGUCGUUCUUUUGGAGCAUGGCUUUUUCCACCUCAAUAUGUGUGACAACCCGCUCACGCACCUCAAAAAACGUCUUUGCUAGAUUCCUGAUCAACGAAUCACUGAAUGGCCCUGCUGCCAUUCCCUGCUCGAAAGUGGUGAUCAUCAUCUCUUCAUUGUGUGUCUGAAAUCUUAUUGUUAGCACGAUGAACCUCUUCAGAUACUCGUUCAACAUAUCUCCCUCCCUUUGCCUCACGCCAAAGAAGACAUAUGACCUUGGAGGUUUGACCUUGUUGGCAAAGAACUAUUCUCUAAACAACCUGGCGAACUGGGAGAAAGAGGUAAUGAGGUCGUCGGGGAUCCCAUUGAACCGUUGGAGGGUUGUACCUAUAAAAGUGCUCAUGAAAAUCUUGCAUCGAAUGGCAUUUGUUCCUCCUGAGAUGAUCAUUUGAGCAUUGUAGUCUUUGCGAAUGUAAAGUUUUUACUCCUCUUUAUUUCUUUUCAACCUUUCUAUAUUUUGUUUAAUUCUUAUAGAAAAGAAUUCUUUAUAUCAUAAUUUAUUGACAAUGUGACAUGGGUAUAUAUAUAUAUAUAUAUAUAUAAGUAUUAAAAUUUACAAGUAAAACUAAAAAAAUGGAAUAAUUAAAAUACAUUUUAAUCAUAUUUUAAAUGUAUUAAAAGUAAUAUAUUUAAACUAUUAUUCAAGAGUUUAAUUUGAAAAAACAAAUUAUAACAUUUUAAGUAAACAAACUGUAUUGGGCAGGAGCUCGGUCCUCGGUCUUGGACCAGCUACUACUCGAUUCUCGGGUAGGGUAGAAGUCAGCUCGGCCAUGGACCUGGAGUCAAGGUAGCGGUGUUGGGUCUGUUUGGUUAAUGGGUCUAAUUUCUAACGAUGUGCUAUGAUUUAAAUUCAAGUUGCAUGUGCUUAAAGAUUAAAUAUAAAUAAAUAUUUUAUAAAGAUAUAAGAUAAAAUAUAAAGAGAUAUUUUAUCUGUUGCGCGUACAUGUUUGCUGCACGUAAAAUACCUGUUGAUAGAUGUUGCUAACCCUAAAAAGAUAGGGAGGUGUAUGUAUAACAGAAUGUGGCUUACAGUUUAGCACCUAAAGGUCAUUGGUGCAUGUGGCAGGUGGUUUUCUGUUAGAGAUAUAAGAUAAUGGGCUUAUUUUCAGUUAAUAUUUGCUUAUCUCAAGGGCAAUUGUUGCAUGUGCGGUUAUAAAAAGGGACUAAAACCCUAGGUGAAGGUUUGCCGUUUUUAGACGUUGUUUUUACACACUACACUGAGAAUUAUUGUUGCUUUGUGAGCCCUUACUGACUUGAGCAUCGGAGUGCAAACGAUUGUAAGGGCGCCCUCUGUCUCUACAGGUAAAAGCAUUCAACAACCAAGAGAAGUGCAGAUUCCAGAAGGGACAGGCGGAGCUUGAACCAGUCGCCAGAGUCAACCGGCGGCCAAGUCACCGGCAAGAACACAAACAAGUUAACAUAUUAAACUUGUAUCCAAAUUUGCAUGAUUGAUUUCUUUUGUUUCUUUAACAAAGUCACACCUGAAGCAAAAUUUCAUAAUAUAUUUUAAGUUUUUUCUUAACUUUUUUAUUACAUCACUCAUGUCCUUUUAAAUAUUUUUAGUGUUUAAUUAUUUUUCUCUUGAAAUGUGAGAAUUAUCAUGAAAAAUAUGUUGAAAUAGAACCGUACUCCUUUGCUUUCUAGAAGAUUGUGGAAAGGUUAAAAAUGAUAACUUUGUAUAUAAAUGCUUCUUUAAGUGCUUUUUUGACAGCCUAAAUGCUUUUUUUUAUAAUUAAGAAUUAUUCUCUUGCAAAUUUACCAUUAGAGCAAUUGAUGUGACUAUACAAGUAUUUUUUUAAGUGUAAGUUACUGAUCUUAACAUUUUUUAGUAAUAUACAUAAUUAUAUAAUUGUUAUAUAAAAUAACAAAAGAAAUCACACCAAUUCUACUUUUCCUUUUAAAGUCAACCAUGUAAAAAUCAUUGAUCCACAUUUUCUACCAUACAAAUUCAUUUUCCAUAUUGUUUAUUAUUAUUAUUAUUUUUUUCGUACUUUGUAAAAUAAAAUGUAUCAAUUCACUCUAACAUGAUGCCGUGGCCAAGCACUACAAUCUGAUAUACAACAGCAGAUUAAACUGCACAAUAAAUUGAAGAUUUAACACAGACAGACAAUUUAUUAUGAUAGAAGAAAUCAUCAAGAAGUGACAACCGUGGAAGAGAUGGCUAAUCUUUGUUCAAGCCAUUAAGAAUCAUGUUCAUGAUUUUGGAGCCUCUGAGUAACUUGGCUCAUGUUGGGUCUCACGUUUUUCUCUUCCUUUACACAUUCCAGAGCCACCGUUGCCAAUAUCUCCAUUUCAUUUAUGUCAUAGUUUGAUCCCAAAGCAGGGUCAAGAUCUCAUCCACCCAAGAUGCUCCCACUUCUGAUCCUUUCCUCUUUUUCUCCCUCACCCAUGUCACCACUCUCUCAUGAUGACCUGACUCUGAUUCUGACUCUGUGAAUUGGACACCUGUUGUUGGGCUCCUUCCAGAGAUCAUCUCCAAGAGAACAAUGCCAUAGCUGUACACAUCAACCUUGGAAGUGAUUGGCAAGUUGAAAACCCAUUCAGGUGCCAUGUAACCUCUUGUUCCUCUUAUCCUUGAGAAGCUUGAAUUGUUAAGAUUGUUCCGGUUGAGUAGCUUAGAGAACCCAAAAUCCCCUACUUUUGGUUUAUAAUCGGAGUCAAGAAGUAUGUUUUGAGGCUUGAUGUCACAAUGCAAAUUCCACUCCAAGCAUUCUUCAUGCAAGUAGGCCAGACCCCUUGCUGUCCCCACAGCAAUGUUGUACCUUCUGCUCCAAUCAAGUGCAUUUGAAUCUGACGAAAGGUUUUGAGCUAAAGAACCAUUCUCCAUGUACUCAUAAACCAACAACCUAUGUUUUCCCUCUGCACAAUACCCCAACAUGGCAAUUAAAUUCAUGUGGUUAAGCCUUCCAAUGGUGCUUACUUCAGCCAGAAACUCACUCUCUCCUUGGUUUGCUACUUCAUGUAGUCUUUUUAUUGCCACAACUCGAUCAUCAGACAAGAAACCUUUAUACACGGUACCUCCACCCCCCCUUCCAAUCUCUUUACUGAAACCUUUAGUUGCGUGUUUCAGUUCAGAGUAAGUGAAUUUCCUAAACCCCGUUGCAGCUGCAACAACAAAGCCUUCUUUAUCAGUAUUUUUCCUGAACAAGAAACACCACCAUAAAGAUGCAUACAACCUCAAUUCCACCUAAGGCAACCGCAAACCACAACAUGAACUUCACCAACUCAUUUCCUUUUUCUUUGGUAUAUGGUCUCGCUAGAACUUCCUCUACUGCACUACUCCCCCCACAUACCAUGGCAUUGCCAUUAUGUACAAUUAGUAUGUCAUCAAAGUUACGGGGCAGUCGCAGGAUGAAUGCUGCGUCGAAACCCGCUGAACGAUGCCCAUUUCGUAACUGCGUCUUGAGGUAGCAGUUACUACUAACCGCAUCUUUCUCCGGAAAGUUGAAUUGAAACCCUUUGCAUCCGCACAACCUUAAACACUGAUCCACACAUUGUUGGUACGUGUGAUUCGAAUAGAGACCAUAGUCGUAUCCGUAAAACUCCAUUUGAGGCAAGGUCAAGAAGUUAGACUCUGGCGGAGUGUUGCCGCACCAAGACUGGAAAUUUGGUUCGCAACCUUGAGACCAGUCUUGAGUAUUUUUCCAUCUGUGACCUGAUCGCAUAAACGAAAAUCAUCAAUGAACACGCGAACCUGACCAAAACAGAAGCAGACAAGUGCUGCAUUGGAAAUCCAUAUAUACAAGCACUUGGUAAGUCUUUCUCUAUGCAAUAUUCCAGCUGUACCGCCCUGGUAGUCGGAAGUGAUGACGUGGCACCAAGCUACAGUAUAGGCGUGUUGACGAGACGCCAGGUUGGCAGAAGGGAAGGAGGUCGGGGGGCUCGUGAAGUCGCCAGUUAUUAUGUUGGCGUGCUCCGAUCUCCAGCACACCAGAACCGGCGGUCACCGGGUUAAAGAUGAAGUCGCCAGAUGUAAACUCAGGCGACCAAGUGAUUAGAGAUCGCCGGAGCAAGCACAUCGCCGAAGGUGAAGGUGGUGCAAAUUAUGAAGGCGGCCGGCGAGACCACAGGGAAGGUGUACGAAGGCACCCUAACUCGCCAAUUCCAGUAGAGAUCGCGCUCCCAAGUUAGCUAUGCACUGGGCAGCACCAUGCAUAAGUAACUUAGCCAAAGGAGAGUCAGAAGCAGCGCCCAAGUCAAGGAGGCUCCAGAUGAUGGCACGUGUACGACUGGAUGCGAGCCACGUGUCCAGGUGUGUAACUGCCAGGAGAGAGAAAGUGACCAGGUAUAAAAGGGUUUCCCAACGAACUUCUGAGGUACGCACGUUCAGAUUGUAUUCUUUACGCUUGCGAGUUCUUGAGCAUACUGUGAGAGAGAACAUUGCACGGUUCCUUGAGAGUUCUAGAGUUUUGCUCUUGAAGUAUUUGGUGGUUCAGUCACUGACUUGGGCGUUGGAGUGCGAUCGGCCGCAGCGGCGCCGCUCUGUUCUUUUGCAGGUUCUUGAGGUAGAUCGCGACGAAGGACGGAGGUUGAAGCGGUGCACACGUCGAUCCAAGUUUGACGAGGCAAGAUCCAACGUUCUGGUCAACAGGCGGGAUCACCAGCAUAUGGUACCAAACAUGUUUUAAUAUUUAUGCUUGACAUCGUACUAAAACUAGUAACAACAGGUAAUUGAAAUACCUGGAAGGCAGGAACACGUUCUUCCCAUUGUGGGGUCAUUGGUGCAAUAACUGUUGGGUCCGCAAAUGCCAUGAAUUAAACAAGGUUGUUGCCGAAACAUCCCUGACACCACCCACUUCUCUUCUCCAUCUAUCAUGCUGUACACUCUCACAUUGCCGUCAUGAUCCAGGGUCAAUCUCCGCUGAAGCACCGUACCGUAAUCGCUCGUUCUGAAAGUGAAGUUGUCGGAAGAAAGCACGGCGCCCAAAUCAUCAAGCACAACAACCCUGCUAUCGUUGAAAGUGGAUCUGCCGUUGACAUUACCGAAGUUGUUGUUCUGAAGCCAAGCGGGUAGGCCAGAAAACGUUGGAAACUCGAGGGCCCUGGUACAUGAGGCGUAGAACAUUCUCGAAGUCGAAGAAGAGCUUGUAGAAACCGGAGGAGUAGUUGCUCCCGCUUCUGGAGGAAACCAGGUUGGUGCUCCCUCUCAGAGGCUGAUUUGGAAGAAGCGUGUCGGUUGGGAAAUCGAAGCUCUCCCACAAAACAGCGUUGUCGGAGGAAUCUUUGAGUAGUACGAGGUUGCCGUUGUCGUACAAAUGUAAGCGCAUUUGUUUGGAUGUACCGGUGGUGUUGGUGGACCAGACUUGGAACUGGGAGGCGUCGGUGAGAACGAGGUUGCCGGAUUUGAGAAGGGAGAGGGUGGAGCGUUUUCCGUUAACGGGGUGGUCCGGGUUGGCGAUCCAAACGAGAGUGUUGGGUGAGUUGGUGUACCAUAUUGCGAAGCAGAAAGCGUUGUGUCCGACGGCGUAAAAGCCUGCUGUGAAUGUUGGUUUGGGUGAUGACACUAUCACGUUUUCUUUCAACUUCUAUACGGAGAGAGAUAAAGCAUGCAAGUUAUGGAACAAUAUGAGAGGAAUCAGAACACCCAAACACACUCUUGAACAUGCCAUUAAUGGACUGCUCAUGCUAUGGUAUGGUCUAUUAUGUAAUUGUGAUCAGUAUUUAAAGUGAAAAAGGAAGAAGCAUUCCAACAUGUAAUUGUGUCAACGUAUCAAGGUCCAAUUCUGCAUGAUUAAACAGUACAUGAUAGUAGUGUUGAAGAUAUUAUAGAAAAAAAAUCCUUAGUAAUAGCACCAACUAACCACACACUUCUUAUUUAUUAUACAUUAUCUUUUUGAAAUAUCAAUAUUCAUGAAAACUGUCUUUAACAACAUUCUUUCUAUAGCAGCCAAAUAACCUUAACCGAUAUACGUCAUCACGUUUUAAGGGACAUCAUCCUAAUAUACAAUAUAGUGUUACUUUGUUGUGGGACAUAUAAUUUUGUAUACUUUUCUAUUGCUUUGACUACUAAGUCUGUAAAGACACCCAUCCCAAGUCUUCUGUAAAAACACUCAAAUCAGUUCAAUAUACUAAGUAAAAUAGACUUAUGAAGUUUAUGCGAAAAAUCAUUUAAAAAUAAUUUUUGCUUGCUUUGUGAAAAUAAAUUACUUUGAUUUUAAGGUUUCGACUCCAUAAUCCUCACACCCAAAGUAUGCGAUUAUUCUAAGUGCAUGUCCACAACAUCACUUGGGCCAUCCAUUUUAAAAUUUUUAUUUUAAUCUAACAAACAAGAAUUCACAUUUCCUCAUUAAAAGUUCUAAAUUAGGCUGUAUGCAGCAACAUCAAAUGAUUAAUUUCCUCAUCAUAAUUGAUCAAUGGUUUCGUGUCGACUACAACUAUAUAAUCAUGCUUUCUGAGAUAAAUGUGAAAAAAUAUUAUAUUGGUAGAAACAUAUUAAAGGGAAAAACAUAUUAAGCAAGAUAUUCUGCAAUAGUGUCUUACCCAUGGAAACAACUGUUUUACCCAUGGAUUAUUACCUAUGGAUUUUUUUUUUUAUGUAAAUUGGAUUUAUCUACAGUUGGUAGGUAAUGUUACUACUGUUAAAAAGCAAGAAAGCAGAGAAGUGGUACAUUACCUACGAAUGUUAGGUGGUGAAAAAGAUAUACAGUGGCUAAUAUUCUUAACCCAUGGAUAAAGCAAAAAAUUUAAAAAUAGUUAAAAGAAAAUUUUCUCUGUGAAACACUUUUUAUUUGUUUGUAAGAAAACAUGUUCUUGCUUCCUCCUUCGAAGCAUUCUCUAACCUAGGUUUUCUUCAAAAAUGGAAAUCUAAGAAAGGGCCAAGAGAACGUUGUCGACAGUCUUGCAGAGCCAAUCCUAAGUUAGAUCCUCAAUCUUACGUUCAAAGUAGUUCUUCUACAUGGUCAUGAAGAGGUGGAGAAGCGCGCAACCCUUGGUUCUGAUCGCUGAAGAAGAAGACCAUGUAGAGGAGGAAGCCAAUGACGACAAGGAGAAAGCCAAAGAAGGAGUCAAAGGUCUUGAUGAGGAGCUGGUCGUGCAACGUCGAUCCCAAGAGCUUGGUAGCGGCCUGAACCAGUGGCGAGUCAGAGGAGACAUUUGGAGGCUUCAUUGAUCAAGUAUUGAGAAAGGUAUUAACAUUCUUUCUCUUUCAUUUGUGUUUGGAUAAUGCUCAAUAAAUUUAGGGUUUUUUUACGACAUACUUUAAAUGAAGGGGAAUUCUGAGUGCUCAAAUCUCAGGUUGUGUUUUGGGUGGCUGAGAUGGGAUAUCGCAGUAUUUCAUGGUUGGUUGUGUCUGAAAUAUUGUAUGAAGAUUUGAUGUGAUGAAAAUGGCCAAUGGUGUUGCAUGCGUUUUGAAAUUGGGUUUGUUUAGGUGAAAGUUAAGGAUGAUUGAGAAUCAUGAGCAAGUAGGCUUCUUUUGUGAUUGAAGUUUUGAAACAAAAAUUGUAUUGGUGUCUCGAGCUUGUUGACUGAGACCGAGGAAACUUGGCCGAGAUCAUGGAAGCUUGGCCGAGAUGAGGGAAAUCGUCACGGUCGGUCUGGUCGACCGAUCCAUACAUCCAUUAACGCUCAAACCAAGGUCAGUGAAGCUAAUCUGUCAUUAAGGAUUAGGUAAUACACCCAUAAAUGAGAUCCAUUCCACUAAUCAGGCCUAAUAAGGUAAGCCUAUUAAAAUAAUAUAAAUAGCACACAUCCCAAGGAGAAAGGUACGUCAUUUAUUACUGUGCACCUACCCGAAUACUGAUCAUCCGCUUUACUGACUUGAGCGUCGGAGUGCCUUCUGCAGGUACCUCCCAUUCGGUGUUCACCCGAGACCGAGAGCCGAAGGAGAAGCACGAAGACGAGAAGGACCCCAGUCAAGCACCCAGCAACCUGCCCGACCGAAGGAGGAAGACGAAGACUUCAAUAGUUUUCUAGGUCUCAUCUCCCUAGCAGGAACAAUUGGCACCCACCAUAGGGUCGAGAGAAACUAGCUGAAAAAAGAAAGUAGAUGGUCUCAACCAAAAGUAUGGAGAGAAUGACUGAAGCCGACCAAAAUAUGUUGUUGUUGUCUCUCCAGAGAGGGAUGGCCGAGAUGAAGAGAAAGACCGAGGAGACUGCUCAGAAGAAAGAGCAUGAGUUGCAAGUUCUCCGUAGGGAGAAGGAAAACAUGAAAAAGAAGCUGGGGGAGGGAGGACCCUCUACUGUACCGACCAAUGUUGUCGGCAGGUCCUACACCUCUCCCCCCAACCCAAGACCGGCCGAAGGGACGAGGGACAGACUCCCUCCCCAGGAGACCAAGAUGGACGACUAGUCAUGCCUGGUCAGGUUCGCCCGGACGACCUUGACGGCCGACUCGACCUGCCGACAUCCUUUUACCAACACCAUUAUUGAAGUUCCACUGCCUGACAAGUGGAAGGGUUUCAACUGAGACCGAUAUGACGGAUCGAUCGAUCCCGAUGAGCAUAUGGACGCUUACACCACCCAUAUGAGUCUCUACACAUCAGACGAUGCAGUUUUGUACCGAGUGUUUCCCACAUCACUGAAGGGAGCAGCCCUCAGCUGGUUUACCAAGCUCUCACCCAACUCCAUUGACAGCUUUGCCACCCUCGUGACGAAGUUUGAGACCCAGUUUGCCACUAGCCGAUCGCACCAUCCAACUUCCAUUGCCCUGGUGGGCAUCCGCCAGGAGAAUGGAGAGUCCCUGAGAACCUUUUUUGAUAGGUUCAGCAAGGUGGCAUUGAGCAUCCAGAAUCUGAGUCCGGACGUUGCCAUGCAUCACAUGUUGACAACCCUACGUCCAGGGCCCUUUGCUGACAACCUGUGCAUGCAGUCGGUCGACAACCUGGACGAGCUGAGGAAGAGAGCUGCUAAGUAAAUGCAGUUGGAAGAACUCAGAGAGUUUCGUAACCAGGCCUGUGCCGAGGCAAGUGGAGAGAAGAACAAGGAGGAGAAAGACCGUCAGGGCCGACCAAGUCAAAGGAAUGACAGACGCAGAGACAACCGGGACCGACCAAUCCGGUUCUCGAGAUACACACCCCUGAUGGCCGAGAGGGGAAGGAUUCUGGACGAGGCUCUCAACGCUGAGUUGAUCCCUCUUCCAAGGAAAGUGGCCAGCCUAAACAAUGCCGACCCAAGGAAGCAGUGUCGGUACCAUCAAAACAGCGGGCACUCGACCGAGGAGUGUCAGGCUCUGAAGGAUAAGAUCGAGGAACUUAUCCAGGCUGGGCACCUCCGUCGAUUCGUCAGGAACGGCUGAGACCCACCCCAUCGGGCAGAACCCCCUAGGCGAACGAGAUCACAAGACGAUCGACAACCUAGGAGGGACGAUCCUCCCCGCAGGGAUGACCCUCUCAGGGAGGCCGACAAAAGAGGUAAUCAAUAGGUUAUCAACACCAUAGCCGGCGGCUUCGCUGAGGGAGGGAGCACCAACAACGCCCAGAAGAAACACUUGCGGGCGGUGCACUAGGUGAACAUGGUGACAUUCCGACCAAGGAUGCCACCCAUCACCUUCAUGGACGAGGACUUCAAGGGCAUGGAUUAUCGCCAACAGGACGACCCGAUGGUAAUAUCGGUCGAUAUAGACCAAUUCACCAUUCGGAAGACCCUGGUGGACCAAGGAAGUUCAGUAGUCAUCCUCUACUGGAAAACAUUCAAGGCCAUGAGGAUGGCCGAGACCGAGAUGAUGCCUUACGACGACCAUGUAGUAGCGUUCUCGGGUGAGAGGGUGGGUACCAAGGGUUACAUUGAGCUCUACACCACCUUCGGCGAGGGGAAGAACACCAAGACUAUAAAGAUCCAUCUGGUCAUUGAUGCUAAUACCUCCUAUAACAUCCUCCUCGGUCGACCGUCCAUCAACCGGCUGAUGGUCAUCGUAUCGAUCCCUCACCUGGCAAUGUAGUUCCCUUCGAAAACGAAAGACAUCCUUAUGGUCCACGUAAACCAGAAGGAGGCACGAGAGUGCUAUGCCAAGAGAAAGUCCUCCCGAAAGGACCGCUCACCCAGGGAGGCCCGACCGAUGUCAGUCGAGCCAACCGUUGCGUUGGUAGACCUCGACCCCCGGGCGACCGAGGAUAGACUGAAGGCAAGAGAAGAGAUGAGGAGGGUACCCCUCCUAGACGAAGAACACAACACCGCCAUAGGGACAACCAUGGCUGCGGCCGAGGCUGAGAUCAUGCACGCCACGCUAAAGAAAAAUAUGGACAUGUUCGCAUGGACACCGGCCGACAUGUCGGGGGUGAGCCCAGACGUCAUCACCCAUCGACUGUCGAUAUUUAAAGAAGUCCGACCGAUCUCCUAAAAGAAAAGGGACCUGGGCAAUGAAAAAUGCCUAGCAGCAAAAGCAGAGGCCAAGAAGCUUUUGUCGGCCGAAUUCAUACAAAAGGCCUGAUACACGACUUGGCUUGCUAAUGUCGUCAUGGUCACCAAGCCGAACGACAACUGGAGGAUGUGCGUCGACUACAGAAACCUCAACAACGCAUGUCCGAAGGAUACCUAUCACCUCCCAAAUAUCGACCGCCUGGUGGAUGGGGCGACCGACCAUAAAAUUUUGAGCUUCCUGGACGCUUACUUUGGCUAUAACCAGAUAAGCAUGCACCCCAGGGACAAGGAGAAGACGACCUUCAUGAAGGCUGAUGCCAACUACUACUACGAGGUCAUGUCGUUCAGCCUCAAGAAUGUGGGGGCGACCUACCAGUGCCUCAUGGACAAAAUCUUCAAAGGCCUAGUCGGCCGGGCGGUAGAGGUAUAUGUGGACGACAUAGUCGUAAAAUCCGACUCUUUCGAAAAGCAUCUGAAGGACCUCGACGAGGUGUACAAGGCCCCCAGGGGGGUUAAAAUGAAGCUCAACCCUGAGAAGUGUACAUUCGGGGUUGAGGGAGGGAAGUUUAUGGGCUUCAUGCUCACCCACCGGGGGAUAGAGGCCAACCCGGACAAAUGUCAAGCCAUACUUGGCAUGAGAAGUUUGAAGAACAUCAAGGAGGUAAAACAACUCCUAAGGCGCCUGACCGCUCUCUCCAGGUUUGUCCCCCGUUUGGCCGAGAAGACGAGACCGAUGGUCCAGCUGCUUCGGAAGGCCACCAAAUUCAGCUGCGACGACCGAUGUGAAGAAAACUUCAAACAGUUCAAGGAGUUCCUGACAUCCCCAGCUGUCAUCCAAAAGCCAAGACCCGACCACCCAAUCUUGGUGUAUCUGGCGGUCUCGGAGGAAGCAGUCAGUGCUGCUUUGAUGCAGGAGGCCGAGGGCGAGGAACGACCAGUAUACUUCGUUAGCUGAACCCUCCACGCGGCCGAGACGAGAUACCAGAUGAUUGAGAAGGUGGCUCUCGCCUUAGUCCUCACAGCAAGACGAAUGUGCCCUUACUUCCAAAACCACUCAAUAAUUGUAAGGACCGACUAUCCCAUUUUCAAAAUUUUAUCUAAAUCGAACCUUGCAGGGAGAAUGAUAGGUUGGUCUAUCGAACUGUCUGAGUUCGACAUACACUAUGAACCGAGUGGCAACAUCAAAUCUUAGUGUCUGGCCGACUUCUCGGCCGAACUGACACCAAUGCCCACCCUCUCAGGCGGAUGGACGCUCUACGUGGACGACUCAUCAAACAAAACGACCUAUGGAGCAGGAGUCGUCCUGGAAGGGUCGGGCGACCUCCUCCUGGAACAAGCACUCCAGUUCGGGUUCCGGGCGACCAACAACCAGGCCGAGUACGAGGUCUUGCUCGCUGGGCUGAACCUAGCCUACGACAUGGGAGCACGUGAGGUUACGUGCAAAAGCGACUCCCAGGUAAUGGUCGACCAGGUCAAUGGAGAAUUCGAGGUGAAGGAGCCUAUACUGCAACAAUACUACCAUGCGGCCAAAAAGAAUAUUGCCCGUUUCAACAAAGCACCCUUGGAACACGCACCGAGGGAGAACAAUAAAAGGGCCGACAUCUUGUCUAAGUUGUCGGUCACCAAGAAGAAGAGCCACCAGAGAUCAGUCAUACAGAUAUGGCUGACGCACCCCAGUGUGUCCGAGAUCGAAUGUCUUGCAAUAGACGAGGUCGAGGCCGAGACAAAUAACUGGAUGACACCCAUCAUCCAGUAUUUGAAGGACAACACAUGCAAGCCAGAGCAAGAAAAAGCAAUGAAACAAUAGUGUGCCUGGUACACCAUGAUCAAUGAAGACUUGUAUCGAAGAGGAUACUCAACCCCCUACUGAAGUGCAUCACCAGCAAACGGGCCGAGUACAUUCUGGCCAAGAUCCAUGAGGGAGUUUGUGGAAAUCAUUAUGGGGCGAGGACGAUGGACGCUAAGGUCCUGUGGGUCGGCUACUACUGGCCGACCGUCCAGGGUGACUGUGCCGAGUACGUGAAGAAAUGUGCCAAGUGCCAGGAGUUCGACCCUCUCCAUCACACAAGGCCGAAAGAACUGUAUAGUAUUAUCUCCCCAUGGUCGUUCGCCAUUUGGGGGAUGGACAUUAUCGACCCCUUCGCACCAGGAAAAGGGCAGACCAAGUUCCUCCUCGUGGGAGUCGACUACUUCACCAAAUGGAUCGAGGUCGAACCCCUUGCAUCCAUCUCAGCCAAAAACGUGCAAAACUUCGUAUGGAGGAGCAUUAUUUGCCGAUUUGGCGUCCCGCACACAAUAAUAACUGAUAAUGGCUGACAGUUUAUUGACCAAGGCCUACAGUCCUUUUAUGACGACUUGGGCAUCAAGUUUGUUACAGCCUCGGUAGAACACCCGCAAACCAACGGGCAGGCCGAGGCCGCCAACAAGGUCUUACUCAAUGAACUGAAAAAGCGUCUGGGCAAGGCAAAAGGCAAGGCCAUGAUCCCGGUCGAGGUGGUCGAGCCCACCAUACGAAGGCAGAUGUUCGACCUCACCCUAAAUGAGUGAUAUGAGUUGGAUUGAGCAUAGACACUUUUAAACUCUUGAACACAACAUUAUAUGAGAAUGAAAACAACAAUUCAAGGAUCAAAGAGUGCUUAAACAAUGAAAACGAAAUUACAUCAACAAAACACAAGCUGAAAACAGAAAUGGAAUCAAGGAAGCUUAAGGAGUCAACAAUGGAGACAUAGCCUUCCAAAAUGAUGAUCCAAACUCAAUAAGAGAGCUAUCUCCUUGUAAACAUCCAUGGAACAAGAAUAUUAAACACAAAUGAAUUAAAAACAGAAGGUACCGAACAGAAAAAUGAAGAACAGCACAAGGAACACAAGAACAAUCGGUGGAAAGGAGAAGAACACCAAAGAGAAGAUAAACUACCGAAUGAAAUUGCAAAAGAAGAUGAAAGGAAUGACACUUAUGGAAUGAAGCUCGGCUGGAAUGAGAAUUUGGAACUGCAUCACGCCACUUGGAGUCCUUGUUCCAAGAUAAGUGAAAGGAAGCCGCCACUUGAAGCUCUCCAAUGGCACACAAGAUAAGGCUAUGGAAGAAGGAGAAACCAAAACUCACAAUUCUCUCUCAAUUUGAGUAGAGUUUCUCUAUAUCCAAUUUCCAAUUCUGAAUUUUACAAGAGCCCACACCUCUAUUUAUAGUGUGAGGGUGCUGAAAAAUAGGUGGGAAAAUUCAAAUAAAACUCAUUUGAAAUUCCCACCAAAAACAAGUCACAUGGGAUGUGUGACCUUUUUCUACUAUGACACCUACUAAAAACUACACGUACACCUACUCUCCUAAGUCACAUGGACAAUGUGACUUUAUUUUACAUAUUCACACUCCUUUAUUUAAUAUCCACACCNNNNNNNNNNNNNNNNNNNNNNNNNNNNNNNNNNNNNNNNNNNNNNNNNNNNNNNNNNNNNNNNNNNNNNNNNNNNNNNNNNNNNNNNNNNNNNNNNNNNNNNNNCUUGGGCUUUGGGCUUGGGCCUCAUAUUUUGCAAAGACUAAUAAGAAGAACUUUAAAUGCUUUGGCCCUUGUCCAUUUCUUCUAUUGAUAACAUCUUUUUGAUUCUCAUCAUACUCCCUAAGUUGGAGAGAAUUCGUCCACGAAUUCAGUACUCCUGCAUAAAACAAAGUCAGUUUGCUAUUAGAUAAGAGAAUACAAGAAGAAAUAGGCAAAUAUGACUUAUCACUUUGAAAUGUUGGGAGUUCAAAAAAAAGAUGUUCUAUACACAGACCAUGUUGGAAAAGAUUGUUUAAAAAUGAUUUUAUUUGGAAAACUAGAAUGUAUGAAAAAAUCAUCCUUAACAUUCUUUAUCCAAUAUGGUGUAUAAGUAGGAACCUUGGGUAAUGAAAAAGAUAAGGAAGGAAAACACCUUGGAGGUAAAGGGAUGAGGCCUAAUUUAUCUUGUCCUUCUCUUUCUCUUUCAUUUUCGCUUUUGUUGUUUAUGGUAAGUUGGUCUUGUUUUACCUCAUUUAACUUUGUUGGUUGUUUAUUUGGACAAUUGACAGCUAUAUGCUCAAAACUUAAACAUUUAAAACAUUUGGUUUUUAAAGUUUUGGUGGAUGACUUAGGGGUAGAAGGAUUUUGGGUAGAAACUUUUUGGGAAGAAGUGGUUUCUUUGCAAAAAUUUGAAGGAGAAUUUUGAGUAGAAACUUUGGUUGCAUCCUUCCUAGAAGAGUUGUAGAAACUAUCAUCAUGAGUAUUUUUGAAAGUUGUUUUCAAAAGGUGUGAUUCUACCUUGAUGGCUAAGUGACAAGAGCAGGAUUCGGGAGGCCACCUGCAAGAUCCGGGCGUCAAGGCGAUACAACACAAAAGUCCGGCAGAGGAGCUUCCAAAAGGGCGACCUUGUCUGGAGGAUGUGUAGUGAUGCGAGAAAAAAUGAAGGGAAGUUUUCGUCCAAUUGGGAGGGACCUUUUCGAGUUCGAGAAGUCGCAAAGGGGGGAGUUUAUCACUUAGAGUGGCUUUCGGGCAAAAUUGUACCGAGGACAUGGAAUGCCACGCACCUCAAGUUUUAUUACAACUGAAUUUAAUAAAGUCACACACUCUUUCCCCACCCUACCAGGGAGACGAGGUGUUUUCAUCAAAGUACUAGCACUGCUCUCCUGCAACCCAUUGGCUCGGUCUGGAUGAAGCCUUAACCGGUAUACCUUGCCGAUACUGAUCAACCAGGUUUGGUCUGGAUGAAGCCUUAACCGGAAUACCCUGCCGAGACCGAUCAACUAGGUUUAGUCUGGACGAAGGCUUAAACGGCAUACCCUGCCAACACCUCUCACUCGUGUGGUUGUCUCGUUCCCCGAGGUGUGACGUGACCUCAGGUGGCGUGAUGUGACUGACAUUAAUGAGGGGGUUUUCAGGCGGGAAGCGUUGUGGACUGUUGGAUCAAGAAGAUCUAACGGUUGAGAUGGAUCUGACGUUUCGAAUUUCGAGGUCGCUAGCUCCUAUAAAUAGUGAUCUCAACAGUGCCGAGCCGCUGUGCUUUUCAAUUGUGAGUUUGUCUGAUAGUCGAGCGUUCUCUCGUCCAUAGCUUUGCGAUCCGAGUGACUUCUCGCCCUCCUUUAUUAGACUUAGUCUCGUCCAAUUUUCACAAGGUUAGUUAUGUCGACCUUGUCUCAGCCUACGUCCUCUUCCUCUGGUCACCCUUCCUCUCCUCUCGGUCGCCCCUCUCUUCCCCUUGGACCUUCUUCUUCUUCCUCUUCUUCAACUUCUUCUUCUUCUUCUUCAUCUACCACCGACUCCUUGUCGGUCGGGGUGGCCGAGGUGCCACCCCUGGUAGAGGUAGUUAAGGGUGACGAUCCGACCAAUGUUGUUGAUUGGUUGGACUCUCCCCCGAUGACCAUUUCUCUCGUGGACCUUAGAUGGAUGGACCCCCGACAUGUACACUUGUCUCUUCUCGGACCUACAUGUCUCCUUUCCUUUUGAUAAAUUCACCAUGGGCGUCCUUCGGGCGCUCAACAUGGCUCUCACCCAUAUCCAUCCAAAUACCUGGGCAUCCCUCCAGGCCUUUCGCCUAUUGUGCGAUGUUAUGCGCCUUCAUCCCACUCCCUCUUCUUUUCUUUCUUAUCAUUCUGUUUCCUCCAAGGCCGGAGUGUGGCCUCCUCCUUUUGCAGUUAUCAAUGUAUCGCCCUUCCCUUUUGUAUUUAAGAAGAAUUUUCACAAGUUAAAAGUAUCGGUCUUUAUUUACAAGUGGUUGUUGGCCAUUUCUUAAUCGAAUAAAUUGAAUGGGCGGUCGGCCAUUAAUUGUGAUUGCGUUAAUCGAACAAGUUAAAAUGGGCGGUCGACCGUUAACUGUGAAUGCUUAAUCGAACAAAUUAAAUGGGCGGUCGACCAUUAGUUGUGAAUGCUUAAUUGAACAAGUUAAAUGAGCAGUCGGCCAUGAAUUGUGAAUGAUUAAUCGAACAAGUUAAAUGGGCGGUCGGCCAUUAAUUGUGAUUGCUUUCAAUCAAACAGGUUGAAUGGUCAGUCGGCCAUUUACUGUGAUUGCUUUAAAUCGAACAAGUUGGAUGGUCGGUCGACCAUUUACAGUGAUUGCUUUUAAUCAAACAAAUUGAAUGGUCGAUCAGCCAUUAAUUGUGAUUGCGUUGAUCGAACAAGUUGAAUGGUCAGUCGACCAUUCAUUGUGAAAGCUUAAUCGAACAAGUUAAAUGGGCGAUCGGCCAUUAAUUGUGAUUGCUUUCAAUCGAACAAGUUGAAUGGUCGGUCGACCAUUUACUGUGAUUGCUUUUAAUCGAACAAAUUGAAUGGUCGGUUGGUCAUUAAUUGUGAUUGCGUUGAUCGAAUAAGUUGAAUGGUCGGUCGGCCAAUUACUAUGUGAGUUUACUUGUGCCAAGUUAUAAGUUUGACUUGGGUGUGUCGGUCGGUCUCGGCAGGGUAUGCCGAUUAAGGCUUCAUCCAGACCGAGCCGAGUGAGAGGUGUUGGCAGGGUAUGCCGUUUAAGGAUUCGUCCGGACCAAACCUAGUUCAUCAGUCUCGGCAGGGUAUGCCGGUUAAGGCUUCAUCUAGACCGAGCCGAUGGGUUGCAGGAGAGCAGUGCUAGUACUUUGAUGAAAAUGCCUCGUCAAAACCUCCCUGGUAAGGUGGGGAAAGAGUGCGUGACUUUAUUAAAUUCAGCUGUAAUAAAACUUGAGGUGCGUGGCAUUCCACGUCCUCGGUACAAUUUUGCCCGAAAGCCACUCUAAGUGAUAAACUCCCCCCUUUGCGACUUCUCGGACUCGGAAAGGUCCCUCCUAGUUGGACGAAAACUUCCCUUCAUUUUUUCUCGCAUUGUUGUGCAUCCUCCAGACAAGGUCGCCCUUCUGGAAGCUCCUCGACCGGACUUUUGUGUUGUAUCGCCUUGACACCCGAAUCUUGCAGGCGGCCUCCCGAAUCCUGCUCUUGUCACGAAAUUCACUUACCAAAUCGAGGUUGACCGCUAGGCUUUCCUCGUUUAGGGUGCGGUCGAACAUCUGCCUUCGUAUGGUGGGCUCAACCACCUCGACCGGGAUCAUGGCUUCGACCCCAUAUGUCAUGCUGUAGGGUGUCUCCUGCGUGGUAGUCUGGGGGGUGCAUCUGUACGCCCAGAGUACUUCUAUCAGCUCCUCUGUCCAUCGGCCUUUUGCCUUGCCCAGACGCUUUUUCAGUUCAUUGAGUAUGACCUUGUUGGCGGCCUCGACCUGCCCGUUGGUUUGCUGGUGUUCUACUGAGGCUGUAACAGACUUGAUGCUCAGGUUGUCAUAAAAGGACUGCAGGCCUCGGUCAAUAAACUAUCGGCCAUUAUCAGUUAUUAUUGUGUGUGGGACGCCGAAUCGGCAAACAAUGCUCCUCCAUACGAAGUUUUGCACGUUUUUGGCCGAGAUAGAUACAAGGGGUUCGACCUCAAUCCAUUUGGUGAAGUAGUGGACUCCCACGAGGAGGAACUUGGUCUGCCCUUUUCCUGGUGUAAAGGGGCCGAUAAUGUCCAUCCCCUAAAUGGCGAACGGUCAUAGGGAGAUAAUACUAUACAGCUCUUCCGGCCUUGUGUGAUGGAGAGGGCCGAACUCCUGGCACUUGGCACAUUUCUUCACGAACUCGGCACAAUCACCUUGGACGGUCGGCCAGUAGUAGCCGGCCCUCAGGACCUUAGCGGCCAUCGUCCUCGCCCCAGAAUGAUUUUCACAGACUCCCUCGUGGAUCUCGGCCAGAAUGUACUCGACCUGUUUUCUGGUGAUGCACUUCAGCAGGGGGGUCGAGUAUCCUCUUUGGUACAAGUGUUCGUUGAUCAUGGUGUACCGGACACACUGUUGUUUCAUCGCUUUUUCUUGCUUUGGCUUGCAUGUGUCGUUCUUCAGGUACUGGAUGAUGGAUGUCAUCCAGUUUUUUGUCUCGGCCUCGGCCUCGUCUAUUGCAAGACAUUCGGUUUUGGACACACUGGGGUACCUUAACCAUAUUUGUAUGACCUAUCUCUGGUGGCUCUUCUUCUCGGUGACUGAUAGCUUAGACAAGAUGUCAGCCCUUUUGUUGUUCUCCCUCAGUAUGUGUUCCAAGGGUGCUUUGUUGAAACAGGCGAGACUGUUUUUGGCCGCGUGGUAGUACCGUUGCAGUAGAGGCUCCUUCACCUCGAAUUCUCCAUUGACCUGGCCGACCAUUACCUGGGAGUCGAUUUUGCAGGUAACCUCGCGUGCUUCCAUGUCGUAGGCUAGGUUCAGCCCAGUGAGCAAGGCCUCGUACUCGGCCUGGUUGUUGGUCGCUCGAAACCUGAACUAGAGUGCUUGCUCUAGGAGGAGGUCGCCCGACCCUUCCAGGACUACUCCUGCACCACAGGCCGUUUUGUUUGAUGAGCCGUCCACGUAGAGCGUCCAUCCGCCCAAGAGGGUUGGCAGUGGUGUCAGUUUGGCCGAGAAGUCGGUCAGGCACUGAGAUUUGAUGGCGCCCCUCGGUUCAUAGCGUAUGUCGAACUCGGACAAUUCAACCGACCAACCUAUCGUUCUCCCUGCAAGGUCAGGUUUAGAUAAAAUUUUGAAAAUGGGAUAAUCGAUCCUUACAAUUAUUGAGUGGUUUUGGAAGUAGGGGCGCAUUCGUCUUGCUGUGAGGACUAGGGCGAGAGCCACCUUCUCGAUCAUCUGGUAUCUCAUCUCGGCCGUGUGGAGGGUUCGGCUAACGAAAUAUACCGGUCGUUCCUCGCCCUCGGCCUCCUGCACCCAAAGCAGCACUGACUGCUUCUUCCGAGACCGCCAGAUACACCAGGAUUGGGUGGUCGGGUCUCGACUUCAGAAUGACAGCUGGGGAUGUCAGGAACUCCUUGAAUUGUUUGAAGAUUUCUUCACAUCGGUCGUCAUAGCUGAAUUUGGUGGCCUUCCGAAGCAGCUGGACCAUCGUCUUCUCGGCCAGACGGGGGACGAACCUGGAGAGGGUGAUCAAGCGCCCUAGGAGUUGUUAUACCUCCUUGAUGUUCUUCAAACUUCUCAUGCCAGGUAUGGCUUGACAUUUGUCCGGGUUGGCCUCUAUCCCCUGGUAGGUGAGCAUGAAGCCUAGAAACUUCCCUCUCUCAACCCCGAAUGUACACUUCUCGGGGUUGAGCUUCAUGUUGUUCGAAAGAGUCGGACUUUACGACUAUGUCGUCCACAUAUACCUCUACCGCUCGGCCAAUUAGGCAUUUGAAGAUUUUGUCCAUGAGGCGCUGGUAGGUCGCCCCCGCGUUCUUGAGGCUGAACGGCAUGACCUCCUAGUAGUAGUUGGCAUCGACCGUCUUCUCCUUGUCCCUGGGGUGCAUGCUUAUCUGGUUAUAGCUAGAGUAAGCGUCCAGGAAGCUCAGAAUUUUAUGGUCGGCCGCCCCAUCCACCAGGCGGUCGAUUUUUGGGAGUGGAUAGGUAUCCUUCGGACAUGCGAUGUUGAGGUUUUUGUAAUCGACUUACAUCCUCCAAUUGUCGUUCGGCUUGGUGACCAUGAUGACAUUGGCCAGCCAAGUCGUGUAUCGGGCUCUCGUAUGAAUCCGACCGACAGAAGCUUCUCGGCCUCUGCCUUUGCUGCUAGGCGUUUUUCAUCGCCCAGGUCCCUCUUCUUCUAGGAGAUCGGUCAGGCUUCUUUAAAUAUCGACAGUCGAUAGGUGAUGACGUCCGGGCUCACCCCCAGCAUGUUGGCUGGUGUCCAUAAGAACAUGUCCAUAUUUUUCUUUAACGCGACAUGCAUGAUCUCGGCCUCGGCCGUAGCCAUGAUCGUCCCUAUAGUUGUGCUGUGUUCUUCGUCUAGGAGGGGUACCCUCCUCAGCUCUUCUCUUGCCUCCAGUCUAUCCUCGGUCGCCCGGGGAUCGAGGUCUACCAACACAAGGGUUGGCUCGACUAACAUGCCUCCCUGGGUGAGCGGUCCUUUCGGGAGGACUUUCUCUUAGGAGAGUGUCGUUCCUUAAGGGCUCCCCACGGAGGCUCUCGACAUAGCACUCUCGUGCCUCCUUCUGGUCUACGUGGACCGUAAGGAUGUCUCCCGUUUUUGAAGGGAACUUCAUUGCCAGGUGAGGGGUCGGUACGAUGGCCAUCAUCCGGUUGAUGAACGGUCGGUCGAGGAGGAUGUUGUAGAAGGUAUUGGCAUUGAUAACCAUAUACCGAAUCUUUAUAGUCUUGGUGUUCUUCCCCUCGCCAAAGGUGGUGUAGAGCUCAAUGUAGCCCUUGUUACCCACCCUCUCACCCGAGAACCCGACUACAUGGUCGUCGUAAGGCAUCAUCUCGGUCUCGGCCAUCCUCAUGGCCUUGAACGUUUUCUAAUAGAGGAUGUCUAUUGAACUUCCUUGGUCCACGAGGGUCUUCUGGAUGGUGAAUUGGUCUAUAUCGACCGAUAUUGCCAUCGGGUCGUCCUGUUGGCGAUAAUCCACGCCCUUGAAGUCCUCGCCCGUGAAGGUGAUGGGUGGCAUCCUUGGUCGGAAUGCCACCGCAUUCACCUGGUGCACCGCUUGCAGGUGUUUCUUCCGAGCGCUGUAGGUGCUCCCUCCCCCGGCGAAGCCGUCGGCUAUGGUCUUGAUAACCUCUCGGUUACCUCUUCUUUCGACCUCCUUGGGAGGAUCGUCCCUCCUAGGCUGUCGGUCGUCUCUGUGAUCUCGGUCAUUUCGACCACGUUGGGGUGACCUCGUUCGCCUAGGGGGUUCCGCCCGGCAGGAUGGGUCUCGGCCGUUCCUGACGAAUCGACAGAGGUGCACUGCCUGGAUAAGUUCCUCGAUCUUAUCCUUCAGAGCCUGACACUCCUCGGUCGAGUGCCCGCUGUUUUGAUGGUACCUACACUGCUUCCUUGGGUCGGCAUUGUUUGGGUUGGCCACUUUCCUUGGAGGAGGGAUCAACUCGGCAUUGAGAGCCUCGUCCAGAAUCCUUCCCCUCUCAACCGUCAAGGUGUGUAUCUCGAGAACCGGAUUGGUCAGUCCCAGUUGUCUCUGCGUCGGUCGUUCCUUUGACUCGGCCGACACUGGCGUUCUUUCUCCUCCUUGUUCUUUUCUCCACUAGCCUCGGCACGGGCCUGGUUACGGAACUCUCUAAGUUCUUCCUGCUGCAUGUACUUAGCAACUCUCUUCCUCAGCUCGUCUAGGCUGUCGGCCGGCUGCAUGCACAACUUGUCAGCAAAGGGCCCUGCACAUAGGGUUGUCAGCAUGUAAUGCAUGGCAAUGUCCGGGCUCAGAUUCCGGAUGCUCAUUGCCACCUUACUGAACCUAUCAACAAAGGUUCUCAGGGACUCUCCCUUCUCCUGGCGGAUUCCCACCAGGGCGAUGGAAGUCAGGUGGUGCGGUCGGCUGGUAGCGAACUGGGUCUCAAACUUCGUCACGUGGGUGGCAAAGCUAUCAAUGGAGUUGGGUGAGAGCUUGGUAAACCAGCUGAGGGUUGCUCCCUUCAACGAUGUGGGAAACACUCGACACAAAACUGCAUCGUCCGAGGUGUAGAGACUCAUAUGGGUGGUGUAAGCGUCCAUAUGCUCAUCGGGAUCGGUCGAUCCGUCAUAUCAGUCUCGGUUGAAACCCUUCCACUUGUCAGGUAGUGGAACUUCAAUAAUGGUGUUGGUAAAAGGAUGUCGUCGGGUCGAGUCGACCGUCACGGUCGUCUGGGCGAACCUGACCAGGCAUGACUCGUUGUCCAUCUCGAUCUCCUGGGGAGGGAGUCUGUCCCUCGUCCCUUCGGUCCACCUUGGGUUGGGGGGAGAGGUGUAGGACCUACUGACAACAUUGGUUGGUACAACAGAGGGUCCUCCCUCCCCCAGCUUCUUUUUCAUGUCUUCGUUCUCCCUGCAGAGAACUUGCAGCUCCUGCUUGUUCUUCUGAGCAGUCUCCUCGGUCUUUCUCUUCAUCUCGGCCAUCUCUCUUUGGAGAGACAACAACAACACCGUCUGGUCGGCUUCAGUCAUUCUCUCCAUACUUCUAGUUGAGACCAUCUACUUUCUUUUUUCAGCUAGUUUCUCUCGGCCCCACGGUGGGCGCCAAUUGUUCCUGUUAGGGACAUGAGAACUAUUGAAGUCUUUGUCUUCCCCCUUCGUUCGGGCAAGUUGCUGGGUGCUUGACUGGGGUCCUUCUCGUCUUCGUGCUUCUCCUUCGGCUCUUCGUCUCGAGUGAACACCGAAUUGGGGGUACCUGCGAAAGGCACUCCGAUGCUCAAGUUAGUAAAGCGGGUGAUCAGUAUUCGAGUAGGUGCACGGUAAUAAAUGACAUAACUUUCUCCUUGGGAUGUGUGCUAUUUAUAUUAUUUUAAUGAACUUACCUUAUUGGGCAUGAUUAGUGGAAUGGAUUUCACUUAUGGGUGUAUUACCUAAUCCUUAAUGAUGGAUUAACUUCACUGACCUUAGUUUGAACUUUAAUUGAUGUAUGGGUCGGCCGGCUAGGCCGACCGUGGCGAUUUCCCUCGUCUCAGCCAAGCUUCUGUGGUCUCGGCCAUGUUUUCGUGGUCUCGGCCAAGUUUCCUCGGUCUCGGUCAGCAAGCCCGAGUCUCGGUCAGGGUGACCGGAUCUUUGGUCUCGCCCAUACCAGUACAGUUUCAAUGCAAUAAUGUUUUGCUAUAAAUAUUAAAUUGAUUGUCUUCUUAUACUAGUACUUCUUAUUAUAGUUGUCAUUGUUUUUUAUAACAUAAGAUUGUGUUCUAAGAAUACUGAUAUUGGGGUUUCUAAAGUCCCUUUGCCUCACAAAGUUGUCAUAUUGAUUAUGGUGCAAACAAAAAGUUGAAGAUAAUAUUUUGAAUGAUGUUUACAGGUAGCUUAAGUAUGAGCAAAAAAUGGUGAAGGAUAAUCCUCAUCCAAAGUUAUCGCAAGUAUGAGCAGAAAGUGGUAAACCUCAUCCAAGUUUCUGUUUUGUCAUGUUAAAAGCUUUUUAAAGGCCAUCAUUUUCAUUUGUUGGACCUAGACAUUCCUUACGUUUAGGGACCCUUUGUAUAAUUGCUUUGAGGCAUUUUUAUUCUCUCCAACCCAUGCCCACCCCCUAACCUUCCCCUUUCAUCUAAAUGUGGUGAUGUAUUGCUUCACUCCCUUUAUUAAACAUAUUAGACUAGUUAUAUCUGUUGAAGAUGGAUGAAGUCUCUUCUCUACCUAGUGUUGUGUGUGUUUGAUGUAGAAAAAUAGCUAGUUUGCUUAUGAAGUUUGUAAUAGGUUUAGAUGAGCUUGUAUGUAGGCUUGUAAUUGUGUAAGGUUGCCUUUUGCCGUAUGACCCAUCCUAGAUGCCUAACCAAGUUUAGAUCAAGCACAUGAUGUGGUUAAAGGGUUUUUGAAAAGCUUUUAAAAGUGCUCUUAAAAGUUUUAAAUCAGUACAAAAAUAAAUCUGUUUUAUGGAGAAAGAAUCGGUUUAUUUCUUCUCUGUUAAAAGGCUUUUCUAAAAUUCUGUUAGGGCACCACCGGUAAAGCUUAGUUAGUUAUUUCAGUUAAAGCUGAGCUGGCCUGUUUGCUAUAUUUUAAUCUGUUUCACUGUGAAAGAACAUCUUUAUUCUUUGGUCAGCUGAAAGGUUUUUCACAAGUUAGUUAGGGCACCAAAGGUACAACUCAGACAGUUAUUUCAGUUAGCUGAGUUGGCGGUUUUCACAAAAUAAAUCUGUUAAGUUAAAAAAUGAAUCUGUUGUUUUCAUAACUGCUUUUCAACUGUNNNNNNNNNNNNNNNNNNNNNNNNNNNNNNNNNNNNNNNNNNNNNNNNNNNNNNNNNNNNNNNNNNNNNNNNNNNNNNNNNNNNNNNNNNNNNNNNNNNNUGUUUUCUAUAUAAAGAAAAGUCUCUCUCACAUGAAGAGUGCUGAGCAAUUACGUUUUUGACAGAGAUCAAACAAUUUCCAUGUGAGAAGAAGGAUCAAAAGAUUUUUGAAAGGUUUUCCAAAGAGAUUUUCAAGUGUGCUUGUUCUAGGAAACCUUUGAUCUUGGUGAAGGUGCUGGUGCAGUUCUGCAGCAAAUUGAACUACUGCUUUUGAGUUCUUGCAUCUUCUUUUCAGGUGUAAUCUUUCCUUUAUUCUGGUUUGUGAAGGUGUAAGUGUUAGUCACUCCUUGAUAGGGUUUCUUGGAGUGCAAGGUGUGCUGAAAUAGGUUUUUUUCAGCAUUGAUUGUGUUGUUCUUGUAGUGUUCAAGAACUGCUGUGUUUGUAAGUAAUUGGUACUGUUUUUUAGUGGAUUCCACCUUGGGGUAAGGUGAGACUGGACGUAGCUCUGUAUGAGUGAACCAGUAUAAAAGCUUGUGUGCCUUUUCUUUUCAUCCCUGCACUCAUUUCUGGUUUUGCUUGAUUCUGUCAAGAACUAAAUCUGUUCUUUUGAAAUUGAAUCUGUUAAUUCUGGGUUUAAGUAAAAACUGUUCUUCCUGAUUUGUUAAAGUUCUCUAAUCACAAACAAGACAGUUGCAUAUGAUGGUUUAAGUGAUCUGUGAACAAACAGUCUAAUCAUUAAAAUAUGAGAAAGAAUCAUUCUCCUUAAAACCUUGUGUUGAGUAAAUUUGUUUGAUUCCUAAGCAUAGCUGUAUCCUUCAUCCUCAUAAUAUUUAGCUAAUCUGAUUCUGGUAUAAUUCUCUGUUGAUCACAAUUUUAUAUUGAACAAAUUCAAAUUGUGCUAGAUUGCUCUGAAGAAUCAAUCUGUUUCAUGUAAAAACAAUCUGUUCUUUUUGCCUCUGGUAUACUGAAAAUUGUGUGUUCUUGCAAAAAUUUUAUAAGCUCAAUUCACCCCUCCCCUCUUGAACUUAGACACUAAUAGACCCAACAAUUGGUAUCAAGAGCUAGGGCUUGUAUUUUGCUCAAGUGUGUGCAUGAUGUCUGAGUUUAAAAUGCCUUUUGCUGAAGGUGCGUCUAUUAAUAGACCUCCUAUGUUUGGUGGUGUUAACUAUGCUUUCUGGAAAAUCAGGAUGAAGAUCUUUAUGGAGUCUAUUGACAUGGGAAUCUGGGAUGCAGUGGUCAGUGGACCUUUUAUACCUAUGCAGGUUGUCAAAGAUGAAACAAUAAAGAAGCCUUGGUCUGAAUGGAGUGAAACCGAGAAGAAGAAGGCCCAAUAUGACUCCUUAGCCAAGAAUAUCAUCACCUCUGCACUGAAUAUGGAUGAGUUCUUUAGAGUCUCUCAAUGUAACUCAGCAAAGGAGAUGUGGGAUGUACUAGAGGUGACUCAUGAAGGAACUGAUGAUGUGAAACGGGCAAGGAAGCAUUCACUAAUUCAGAAGUACGAGCUGUUCAGAAUGCAAUCAGAAGAAAGUAUUGCAGAUGUGCAGAAACGAUUUACACACAUUGUAAAUCACCUCACUAGCCUUGGUAAAGUCUUUGACAAGGAAGAGCUUAACAUAAAGGUACUAAAAUGCCUUGAUAGGAGCUGGCAGCCUAAGGUAACAACAAUCUCAGAAUCCAGAGAUUUAUCCAAGAUGUCCACUGCUGCACUUUUUGGAAAGCUGAUAGAGCAUGAAAUAGAGCUGAAAAGAUUGAAAGAACAAGAAACUGUGGAGAAGAAGGCCAAAGGAAUUGCUCUGAAAACUACCAUGGAACAUGAUACAAGUGAGGAAGAAGUUGAUCCUGAACAUGAUGAGACCGUGAGUCUGCUCACCAGAAAAUUCAGCAGGUUUCUUAGAAAGAAAAACCGUGACAGAACUCAACAAAGAAAGAGGUACUCUAAACAACCUAAUGAUUCAAAUUCUUCCAAUUACACGUGCUUUGGAUGUGGUAAACCAGGUCAUAUAAAAGCUGAUUGUCCAAACAAUCAACAUAAAGAAAAAUCAGCAAGCAAGAAGAGUGACAAAGGCAAAGGUAGAAGAGCAUACAUCUCAUCAUGCGGCAAAGACAAAGACAAAGGCAAGCUGUUACAUACGGAUUUGGUUCGUAGAUAAAUCAGUUUUUUUGUAGUGAAUAUGGUUUCCUCGAGGAUAUACUCACCUGCAGAAACUUAUUUCCUUAUUAAGAAAACCAAAAGACUGAGGAGAUUGAGUAUGGAUUUUCACAAGAUAAUGCUGCACCAACUCUUCUAUUUUCCAAUUUUGCUAGGGUCAAGUUUUCUAUUGAUAGUUGAAGCCUCAAAUUUAGAUAUAAUAUUUUAAGUAUUUAUUUUCAUCAACCUUGCAAAUAAGUCAUCCAACUUCUGGUUCAGGGUUGAAAUUUUUACAAGUCCAAGCUCUUUGAGAUUUUUAGACCAAUUACAAUUACAAGAAUCUUUCCAAUUUGUUGUUAAACUUAAAGAUCAGAUUCAAGAAGAACAGUUAAUGAAUAAAUGGUGUUAAAUAUGCCUGGUGAAAAGCUAAAACUACCAUGUUCAGGGAUCACUGAUUCAAGUAUUUUGAACAAAAGUAUGCUUAAGUAUUCAGGGAGGGGCCUUUAACUAAGGCUAAGAAAUGCAUUUUAGGUACUAUAAAAUAAUUUGCUAAUCUGCAGAACUCACAAUUAAAAUCCAAUCUUCUUUACAAAUCAUCAUUAAAAGGAUCAUCAAACAAGUUGAAUACUGUACUGAACCAGAGUGUUGGGCUCGGUGCUCAGGUGAUCGGACAUCGGCACCUGUAUGGAGCAGGUCAGCUCGGUGGUCUGGUAGAGCUAAUAGGCCACGUAAGUGGACCCCAAGAAUGCGUGUGUUGAAACCCAUAUAUAUGCCAGGCCUAAUCAGCGAAAAAGUGCAUGUGGUGUGUAUAAUACAUUUGGAUCUAACACAAGUAAAUAUCCCCUAAAGACGCCUAGGCCCAAGAGCGCUAGGGUUUUCAGGGGUAAGCUGCAUGCAUGAUACGUAAAGGCUAGAGUGCCUACAGUGAUGAAAGAUGGGCCCCAUAAUGCUGGUACAUGAGUUGGUACCCUGGCGGCCAUGCUUAAGAUUAUGCACUCUAAGGAGGAAGAUUUUGUGCGGUUGUUACACUAAGAUUAUAUGACAACGUAACAGACUGCCCUCCCAUCAAACCUACUUUCACUCGAGAUAAGGUUGUUACAAUGAAGUAACCUAAUAGUUGAUGUGAUUCCAAUAGCCACAUAUAGAACAAGAUUCUUGACAUUCUUAGGAAUCACUUUGAGCUGGAAAAUAUAGAGGCACUUUUCUUAGAGUUGGAUCAUUGUUCUAAGACAAGAACUCACCAAAAAACUAGUACCAAAUCCCAAACUCAUUUGGAUGAACCAAAUAUUGUCAAAUUGAAUCAACAAAGGGAAUGAAAGCUGGAAUGACCGAACAGAAUUAAACAACAAUUCAUAUGAACCGAACAGAAUUAAGAAUCAAAACAGAGCAUAGUGCUGGAAAAUAGAAAAACCGAAACUGAAAAACUCAAGAACACAAAGCAACAUGAACAAUUGAAGAAGAAGAAAGGAAGGAGAAGAGAAUGCUCAUGAAGAUGGAAGGAGGANNNNNNNNNNNNNNNNNNNNNNNNNNNNNNNNNNNNNNNNNNNNNNNNNNNNNNNNNNNNNNNNNNNNNNNNNNNNNNNNNNNNNNNNNNNNNNNNNNNNCUCCUAGAUGAGAGUGAUGACCGCACUUGAGGACUCCAUUGAUCCAUCAAGAUAAGACUAGAGAAGAAGGCUCCAAAAGCUCUCCAAAGGUCACUCAAAAUUUGAGUAGAGUUUUCUUAGAUUAAUUCCAAUCUGAAUUUUACAAAGGAAGCACCUCUAUUUAUAGCCUAAGGUGCUGAAAAAUAGGUGGGAAAUUUCAAAUAAACUCAUUUGAAAUUCCCACCAAAAACAAGUCACAUGGGAGGUGUGACCUUUUUCUACUAUGACACCUCCCAAAAAACUACACCUACACCACCCUCCUAAGUCACAUGGGUAAUGUGACUUUAUUUUACAUUUUCACACUCCUUUAUUUAAUAACCACACCUCCUAAAACUAUACAAGAGUAUUUCAAAGCUUGGCCUUGCCCCUCAUGGGAUGGACUUGGGCUCUUUGGGCUUUGGCCUUCUUGGGCUUGGGCUUUUGGCUUGGGCCUCAUCUUUAUUUUAUGUCUUCUUUUAAUUUUGAGAAGACUAGAAGGAAGAACUUCAAAUGUGAAGGUGGAUGUCCUCUUCCUCCAUUAAUAAAAGCCUCAUUUAUUUGAUUUUCAUCAGUAGUCUGUAAAAUGGAUUCAAGAUCCUUGGUAAAGAUACAUCGUUUCUAAGACUGAAACUAUUUACUUACUCAUUGUUUCUUAGCCCAGUAUUGACUUGAUCUUCGGAGUGCAAUCAACAGGUAGGACCCCCUUAGUUUCAAAACGGAGUCGCGUUCCAACAUCCCAGGCAAAGAGAAAAUCCAGCAGAGGCAAACAGAGUCACAACCUGUUCCUAGACUCAACCGACGACUAGGUCAAUCGGCAAGAACAUUUUGGCACCCACCGUGGGGCACGAUAAAACUAGGUCCCAUCCACAAUUGUGAUUAGAGCUAUUAGACGACAUGAGAAAUACAAGACAAGGUACAUCUGUACAGAAAGAAGGCGACAACAUCACCAUGCAACAACUCAUGGAGACCAUCUGCACUCUUUAGCAGACGGUGGCGGCAUCCAAGGCUGAUCAGGAGAAGGUUUUGGCUGAGGUUUGAGCCGAGCAGGCACUUAGACAAGACCAGUUCCAGGUAGAUUUGGAUGCGUCAUGCACAAGCAACGAAGAGCUAUGGUAGGCCAAUGAGGAAUUGCGCAAAGAUCUACAGCGCAUGGGGGAACGUGCUGCAGGGGAGCAAAUCUCGCCCAUUCCAGUUAGGGCUCGCCCCAUGCCAUUCUCCCAAGCGAUCAUGAAUGUCGUGAUACCCACCAAUUUCAUGACUCCAAAAAUCACUUUCGCAGGUACUGAAGACUCGAAGGCCCACAUCAUAUCUUUUCACACUCAGAUGAUGAUCUCGGGGGGAACAGAUGCCAUGCAUUGCACGUUAUUCAUGGGGACGUUCACAUGCACAACAUUGGUUGCUUCAUCGGUCUCCCCGAUGAACACAUCACUUCGUUGGAUCAAUUCUCCACAUUGUUCAUGGAACAGUUCAUAGUCAACCGUGUUCCACCCCCUGUCUCUUUCGACCUCUUCGACGUGAAGCAGUACCAGGGGGAGCCGCUGAAGGACUUCCAGAAUCGGUUUGGGGCGCUGGUGGUAAAGUUGCAAACCAAGGAUGAAGCUAUGAUGGUAUAUGCCUUCAGGCGGGGAAUUCUGUCAAGGCCCUUCAACAAUUCUGUAAUAAGGUGUCGCCAAAAACGUUUAACGAGGUCUGCCGCCGAGCUGUUGCCCACAUCAGUGCAGAGGAAGAGGUAACGGAAAAACGUGGAAGCGUUGAACCGACAAGACCCCGAGAAAGCAGUUGAGCCCAACGCAUGAGGGAACAUGAAAAUGCGACGGAGAAGAGAUCACCAGCCAGACAUGUGUCCUACAAGCUGAAAAAACAUCAGACUAGGGCGCGGGCGAAGGGAGACAUGUCCUGUCGACACAAGUUCAGAGUAAACCUCAAGGAGCUGAUCGCUAUCCCAAAAGUGGCCGACAAGUUAAAGCCACCCCCAAAGAGUGACAAGAGGUUGGGGCCAAGCAGGGGCACCUGGUAGGAGUUCCACAAGGCCUUUGGGCACGACUUGCACAUUUGUUUGGCACUUGGACACCAAUUAGCUUAUUUGGUGAAGGAUGGCAUCCUGAAGGAAUACCUAGAGGAAGGUCAUGAAGCCUCAACGGUGGUGACCCCAGCAGGGGAUCAGGGACAUAAAGUACCAGUCCAUGGCGAGGUCAACACGAUCUCUGGGGGUUUCUCAGGGGAGGAUGCACCACCUCCCAGCGAAAGAAAUAUGUUAGAGAGGUGAUGGCAGUAGAAGCACGGAUACCUGACCAAUCACCUGAGCCUGACCUCUAUGUCACGAAGGUUGAUUUACAAGAUGUGGUCCCACAUGAUAAUGAUCCAGUGGUGACAGUAGGGAGAAGGGUACACUGAGUCCUCAUCGACCAAGGGAGCUCGACAGAUGUAAUGUUUUGGUCGACCUUCAACAGAUUGCAGUUGUCGCCCGACCAACUGAGACCUUACGACGGUUGUAUGUACGGUUUUGCUGGAGACCAGGUAGAAGUAAGGGGGCACGUGGAGCUAAGGACGACACCACAUCCCGCACCGUUAAUAACAAGGUACCUCGUCGUCAACGCUCCCUCAGCUUAUAACAUCCUUUUGGGCAGGCCUUCCCUGAAUAGGAUAAGAGCAGUGGCCUCGACGAAGCAUAUGAAGAUGAAAUUGCCUUCCCUCGAGAGAGUGAUAAUUACUAUCAAGUUCGACCAGAAGGCGACAAAGAAGUGGUAUGAGAAAUAUGCUCAAUCACCAGCCAGCCUCAAGAGGGAGAAGGGGUCGCCCGUAUAGAGAUGGCCUGGGAGAGGCGACUUGAGCCUGCAAGAGAGGUGCUGGAAAGGGAGAUCGGGGGAAAUAAGUUUAAGCUUGGCAAAUCUUUGAGCCAAGAAGUACAGGACCAGAUUGCCGAGGUGAUAACACGACAUUUGGAAGCCUUUGUGUGCUCUGCCUCGGACAUGCCCAACAUCAACCCUGAUUUCCUAUGCCAUCGUUUCACGAUGGAUCCAAAGGUCAGGCCUGUCCUACAGAGGCGGAGGAAAUUUAACGAGGAGAGACACCUGGUCAUCCAGAAAGAAACUCAAAAGUUGUUGAGUGUUGGCCACAUAAGGGAGAUCCAAUACCCUAAGUGGUUGGCAAAUGUGGUGUUGGUCAAGAAGGCCAACGGAAAGUGAAGGAUGUGCGUGGAUUUUACGGAUUUGAACAAGGCAUGUUCGAAGGAUUCAUAUCCGCUACCCAGUAUCGACGCCCUGGUAGAUAGCGCGUCAGGUUGCAGACUUCUCAAUUUUCUGGAUGACUUCUCAGGAUAUAACCAAAUUCGGAUGCAUCCCCGAGACGAGUGCAAGACAACAUUCAUGACGGAGAUCUCUAGCUAUUGCUAUAAGGUGAUGCCCUUUGAGCUUAAAAACGCGGGCGCAACCUACCAGAGGCUAAUGGACACCAUUCUCAUCCCUAUGAUAGAGUGAAACGUGCAGGCAUAUGUGGAUGAUAUGGUCAUCACCUCCAAGGAGAAGGACCAACACAUCACCAAUCUAGAGGAGCUAUUCACCACAAGAGCCAGGUAUAAAUUGAUGUUAAAUCUCGAAAAAUGCGUAUUUAGGAUGGAAGCAGGAAAGUUUUUAGGGUUUUUCCUCACCGAGCGGGAAAUAGAGGUGAACCCCGAGAAGUGUGCGAUGAUUAUAGCCAUGAGAAGCCCGACCUCGGUGAAGGAGGUACAACAGGUAACAGGAUGCAUGGCCGCCCUGUCGCGAUUUGUAUCAGCUGGAGGGGAUCGGGGACAUCCCUAUUUCCAAUGCUUAAAGAGGAAUAACCGGUUUGUAUGGACAGGCGAGUGUGAGGAAGCGUUCCUCAACCUAAAGUAGUACUUGGCCAGCAUGCCGGUUUUGUGCAAGCCGCUACCAGGUACUCCCCUUCGCCUAUACUUCGCUAUUACAGAGCAGGCGAUGAUGGAAGAGGCCCCAGCACCCAAAAGAGCGUCUAGGACCAACCUUGCAUGGAGGGCACCCACAAGAAGCGUCUAGGACCAAGAGAGUUGAUGUUCAAGAAGGCCAAAUAAGUGUAGCUUAGUUUUAAUUGUGGUGCAAAUAGCAUAGCCCUGUGAACCUUUGUUUAAAUUCUGCAAAUUAGGAUUCGUUACGGUUUUCUAGAACCUACCACUAAUCUAGUGUAACCAUGUGAAGGUUAGGAGGCCAUGUGCUCCCAUGUGCCAUGUGCUCCAUGUGUCUCCAUGUGCUCCUUCAUUUGCAUGUCAUUUAGAUUACAUUUCAUUUGUAUUUGGCUCUUCAAAUUCCAGCCCUCCAAUCCUAUAUAAGGAGGUGCUUGGCUCUCAUUUUUGUAAGAUUAAAUUGAGUAUUGUUAUGCUGCCAAAAUUGAGCCAUACUUUACUCCCUUUCCUAGAAUUUAAGUCUAAAUCUUCAAUACUUUCACCUUCCAAAGGGGCUGGCCGAACCUCCCUAAAUUCCCUACUCUUCAUGCACCUCCAAGGCAUCCACACCUCUUAGGAGGGCCUUGAUCCAUCAACAAACCACUAAGCUUCCGCAAACCACCCUAAAAACACAAAAGAGAAGACCUCAAUGCCAUCAUUUGGUAUCAGAGCUAUGGUCUUCAAGAGAUAAGUAUCUCUUUGUAUUUUUCUGCUUGAGUUCUUCUUAUAUUCAUAUUGUUCAUCUUUGUUCAUCUUGUCUUGCUGUUUUUUAUAUUUUAAUUUGAGUUGGAUGCUCUUCUUAGCAUUUCAAUCGGUAGAAUUGUUCAAAUUGUGCUUGAGCAUCUUAUUUGCAAUUUUUGUGUAGGAUUCUUGGUACACUGUGUUGUUGUUUUUGAUUUUUAGGUUGCUUGAGUCUUGAUUGAAAUUCUAUUCGGUUCAUAUUAAUGUGUUUGAGUCAUUUUAUUUUCUGAAUCUAUAAGUUUUGUCAAGUCAUGUGUUUCCAAAAUUUGUCAACAAAUCUUAGUAGUACUUUUCUUGAAUUAUUUGUUUCUUGUUUUGAUUUGAGUGCUUAAUCUGAAUUCUGUUUUGAUUUGAUCCUUUGGUGCAUUUUUCAUUUUAGUUUGAGUUCAUAUUUGUGUGCUAGAUCCACACAAAUUCCAUCACAUUAAUUCCAUUAUGUUUUUGAAGUAUAUCUUUCUGUUUUGAUUCUAGAUUUCAGAAUCCUCUGUUUUCACAAAUCUGUUUUGACUGUUUUGCUUUAUGAAAAUUAAAUACGUCAUAAGAAAAUUAUGAGCCUCUGGAUUUCAAUAGUUUGAGGUGUUAGCACAAAAAUAAAAAAAGAAUCAGUUGAAAAAAAAAAUAGAAAAAAAAGAUAAAAUAUACAAAAGAAGUGUGCAUUCUGGCACUAUACCUGACGGUAAUUGGACACUGUUUUUGGAUAAAAUAUCAUAAUUAAUUGGGGCAUGUGAUUGGAGUGAAACCAACGCCAAUAGUUUGUUAAGAAACUGAAUUAAUUGUGUUUAAAUUUUCAGAAAAAUAGCCAACUCAACAUAAAUCAUUUAAGUCACGCUUUCUGGACCACAAUAUUUUCAGUGGUGCUGUUUUGGUUUUUCAAAUCAAUUCUAGUGUCAAUCUUUAGGUUCCUUUUGUGUGCCAUCCAUUAUUUGAGUGCCUAUUUUUAUUUGCUUGUCCAAUUCAUUCUGAACUCCUUCUAGUUGUGUCACAUUAUUAAAUCCAAUUGCAGUGGUGCUGUUUUAAAAUUUUAAUUGUUUCUUGCUUUCUUUUCUUGACCUCUAAAUUUGUUGGUGGAUAAAUAUCAAUUGGUGCUUGUUGAGUGGGAUUUGACUUGAGGAGAGUCUAGCUUUACUUAAUAGGUACUGUAUUGAAGAAUUUAAUUCCUUAAAUCAAAGAGGAUCAAGGCAAGGGGCAGCAACAAACACAAAACCAAAAUACACCAUACACCGUGAAGGGCACAACCAAGAAGAGUAACAACAAGUCAAAAGAGUGCCUUGCUGAAAUUUAAUUUGUGCAAUUUAAUUUCUUUGCAUUUCUUGAAUUGUAAUUACAUUUCACUCUUGUUAAUUAGUAGCUUAAUCACGCAAUUAGACGGUGAGUGUGUCUUCAAAGGCUCAAAGUGUCUAAGAAACCUCACCUAGGAACGACUAGUUUAAGCUUUCUAGUUUAGCCUUUGUUAAUUGCUUUUGCUUAGUUUUUCUUAAUUUGCUUAUACUUAUCUUUGUUUAAAGCNNNNNNNNNNNNNNNNNNNNNNNNNNNNNNNNNNNNNNNNNNNNNNNNNNNNNNNNNNNNNNNNNNNNNNNNNNNNNNNNNNNNNNNNNNNNNNNNNNNNUCUAAGUGAUUUACCUAAAGAAAGAAUUGUGUGAAGAUUUUGAGGGAUAGUUUUUGGCUAAGGCAAGACUUGGUAUUUAAGUAGUCCUUAGUGACUCACCUCUCUUACCUGGAAAACUAACUUCAUUAACUUUCCUCUUCCUUCUUAAAGUAAAGCACUUUUAAACACAAAGUUUUAGUCAUGUCUUCUCACUCCUCUAAAUCUCUUAAAAGUGAUGUGAAAUCCUUGAAAUCUCUUUUAAAACAACUUUCCAAGGAUAUUCAAUCAAUUUCAUCUAAACAAUUGGAGAAUGAGGACAAAACUAAUGAAUUGAAUAAAGCAAAGGAUGAGAAGUCUCAAAUUUCAAAAAAAUUACAUUCUCAUGCAUAUAGCUCUCAAGUUUAUGAUUCUUUUGGGGAAGAAAGUCUUAGGAUAAAAGAAUAUCAUCAACCAUCCCCUAGGAGAGCUAGAAAAGAGAGACAAGAAAACCUAAAGGAAGUUAAGGUAGAUCUACCUCAUUUCUAUGGAAAAGAAGAUGUAGAAACAUAUCUAUAUUGGGAGAUGAGUGUAGAGCAAUUGUUUGCUUACAACCAUGUGAGUGAAGAAAAGAAAGUACCCUUAGCUACCUUAAGUUUUCAAGGUGAUGCUAUGUAUUGGUGGAAUGCCCUAAAAAGAGAGAGACAUCUCCACAAGGACCCUCCCAUUACAUAUUGGAAUGACCUUAGGGGAGCCUUGAGAUGUCGCCAUAUUCCCUCACUUUACAAUAAGAGGUUGAUGGACAAGCUCCAAAGACUUCAUCAAAGAGAUAUGAGUGUAGAAGAAUAUUGGCAAAAGAUGAUGUCAUAUAUUAAGAGGGCAAGGAUUAACGAAGACAACCAUACCACCAUAGCUAGGUUUUUAAGUGGUCUCAAACUUGAGAUAAGAAACAAAGUUGAACUUUUACCUUAUAGAGAUUUAAAUGACUUGAUUCAACUUAGCAUUAAAGUUGAAAAACAAAUUUUGAGAAAACAAUCAAGUCGAAAACAAAGUUCAUACUAUGUAUCUUAUGACAAGGAUGAGUUCCAUAGAGGGGAAGAACAUAUAAAAGAAACAUCUCUAGAACUUUCCCAAAACCUAGCCGAGCAUAUUUCACACACUCAAGCUAGAGAAAUUCAAUGUUUAGAAUGUCUUGGUAAGGGCCAUUUAGCAUCUCAAUGUUCCAAUGAAAGAUCUAUGAUCUUAAGGGACAAAGAUGAGAAUAGUAGCCAAGAAAAAGAAGCUAGUGAGAGUGAUGAAAAUGUAAAAAUAGAAAAGCAAGAGAAAACCCUUGGAAAGCAAAAGGNNNNNNNNNNNNNNNNNNNNNNNNNNNNNNNNNNNNNNNNNNNNNNNNNNNNNNNNNNNNNNNNNNNNNNNNNNNNNNNNNNNNNNNNNNNNNNNNNNNNGCCUUACCUUUUGUAAAGGAACACUUGCAAGCCUAGUAAAAAAUGAAGAAUUCUUAAAAGAGGCUUGCAUAGAUAGAAAUGUAGUAGAUUAUUUCUCAUAUGUGCUAAGAUAUCACCAAGUGAAGGUCAAGUUAUCUAUAGGCAUCUACAAAGAAAUUUUUUUAUGCGAGGUAGUACCUAAAGAAACUUGUCAUGUCUUGUUGAGAUAACCAUUGCAAAGUGCACAAAUUCUCAUAAACAAUGGUUGUAACAACGAGACUACCUUUACACAUAAGAGAAAAAUUCUUCAUGAAGGAGAACUCACGGGCCAAAUUAGAGUUGAUAAAACUCUAGGGCUUUUAAAAGGAAAACUUUUGUCACCCAUGAGAAAAAAUAUUCAAAGACAUUACCCUAGAUACAUCUCUUGUUUUAAAACUACACCUAAGGCAAUGUCUCAUGAACUCUAUACUCCUUCACCUUUUGCAAAUGAUCCAUGGGAAGACAUAAGCCUAAAUUUCAUAUUAGAGCUUCCUAGGACAACAAAAGGUUUUGAUUCCAUUUUCAUGGAUAUGGAUAAACUCUUCUCUAGAGAAGUCAUACAUCUUCAUGGUUUAUCCUCAAGCAUAGUGUUGGAUAGAGCUCCAAAUUUCGCAAACCAUGAUUUGAGGAUUCUCUUGUGAAAACAUGCAACUAAGUUGUACACUUUAAAUUCUUAUCAUCCUCAAAAGAAUGGUCAAAAUACAAUUGAAAACCUAGCUCUUUCUACUAUGCCUAGAGUAAUCAUAAGAGACAACCACAACUCUUGGGAUGAGUAUCCUUUUUCUAUUGAGCAUACAUACAAUAGAGUAGUACACAAGACUACUAAUAUUUCUACAUUUGAAGUUGUAUGUGAACAUAGUCCUCUUUCUCUUUUUGAGUUGUUACAACUUCCUAAAGGAAUUAUGCCUAAGGAAAAAGUAACCACUAUUGAAAAUUUUACAAAGCAUAAGAGGAUUAGAGAACACAUACAACCAUCAAAAGAGAAAUAUUGUGAAAAGUUGCCAAAGACAAAAGAAAAACAAAAAUGGCAACUUCAUACAAUUGCGUUUUCUCCAAUUGCUCACAUUAAUCCUUUGCUUUGUUUCAAGAUUCCCAUAGAUGGACAUUUGAUCCGGGAGGACAAACCUUGACGAAGAAAGAGGCUGUUAUUCGAGAUCAAAUCUGUAGGUCUGAGGAUAGAUCUUCUCAAGAAAAAGGAGAUGAUGGACACCAUCCAGCCACAUUCAUCCCCCUAGUUGAAGAAAAAGCAAUGGAUUUGAGGAAAAAUCCUUUUCAAGAGGGAGGGGAUGAUGGAAGAGGCCCCUGCACCCAAAAGAGCGUCUAGGACCAACCUUGCAUGAAAGGCAACCAAGAGAGCGUCUAGGACCAACCUUGCAUGGAGGGCACCCACAAGAAGCGUCUAGGACCCACAAGAAGCGUCUAGGACCAAGAGAGUUGAUGUUCAAGAAGGCCAAAUAAGUGUAGCUUAGUUUUAAUUGUGGUGCAAAUAGCAUAGCCUUGUGAACCUUUGUUUAAAUUCUGCAAAUUAGGAUUCGUUACGGUUUUCUAGAACCUACCACUAAUCUAGUGUAACCAUGUGAAGGUUAGGAGGCCAUGUGCUCCUAUGUGCCAUGUGCUCCAUGUGUCUCCAUGUGCUCCUUCAUUUGCAUGUCAUUUAGAUUACAUUUCAUUUGUAUUUGGCUCUUCAAAUUCCAGCCCUCCAAUCCUAUAUAAGGAGGUGCUUGGCUCUCAUUUUUGCAAGAUUAAAUUGAGUAUUGUUAUGCUGCCAAACUUGAGCCAUACUUUACUACCUUGCCUAGAAUUUAGGUCUUAAUCUUCAAUACUUUCACCUUCCAAAGGGGCUGGCCGAACCUCCCUAAAUUCCCUACUCUUCAUGCACCUCCAAGGCAACCAAACCUCCUAGGAGGGCCUUGAUCCUUCAAUAAACCACUAAGCUUCCGCAAACCACCCUAAAAACACAAAAGAGAAGACCUCAAUGCCAUCAGGCGAUCAACUCAGUCAUAGUCCAGGAGCAAGAUCGCGUUCAGAGGCCUAUAUAUUUUGUUAGCAAAGUGUUGCAGGAGCCCGAGGUGCGCUACCAGGCCAUUGAGAAGGCGGCUCUAGCAGUAGUAUUUGUAGCACAAAGGCUCCACUACUAUUUCCAGAGUUUCACGGUGAUUGUGAUAACUGAGCUUCCCAUCCGCAAGGUAUUGCAGAAACUUGAUGUGGCGGGUCGGAUGGUGCAUUGGGAGGUUGAGCUUUCCGAGUUUGAUGUGUAGUAUGAGUCGAGAGGACUUAUCAAGGGUCACGUUUAUUCUGAAUUCGUGGUAGAACUCUUCUCGACAGCCACACACCAAGACAGUGGAGAUUUCUAGUGUGUCCUCUCUGUGGACGGGUCCUCUAACCAUCAAGGCAGUGGGCUUGGUAUCAUCUUCGAAGGACCAGACGGGUUACUGAUCGAGCAGGCUCUACGUUUCACUUUCAAAGCUAGCAACUACCAAGCUUAAUAUGAGGCCUUGGUGGCAGGGAUGCUGCUAGCAAAAGAGAUGGGUGCUCGAGCUUAUUAGUAAAGAGUGACUCGCUACUAGUAAUUGGGCAAGUUACGAGCGAGUACCAAGCCAAGGACCCCUAGAUGGUCGCGUAUUUAAAGUAUGUUAUGCUCUUGAAAGAGGCUUUCGCUGCGUUUGAGUUGGUGCACGUCCCCAGGGAACAGAAUGUCCGAGCUGAUUUGCUGGCGAAGCUCGCCAGCUUAAGUAGGGGGGCCAACAAAGGACAGUUAUCCAGGAAACCUUAAAAGCACCCAUGACCACCACAGGCUGCCCACAAGAGGUCCAACAAGUUCGACGACGGAAGGAGAGGUCACCGGUAUUUGACCCAGGAAACGUUGAGGGUACCCAAGAUAAGUUCAUACAACUUUUCAGUGGGAGAAUCGUUGGACGUUUGACUAGUCGACAUGGGUGAAACCUGGAUGACACCCUAUAGGCGAUACCUGGCUGAUGGUUUACUCCCACUGGAGCCAACGGAGGCCAAAAUCAUUAAGUAGAAAGCAGGAAGGUAUACCCUGGUAGAUGGAAAGUUGUUCAGGCAUGGCUACAUUCACCCUAUCCUGUCCUGUGUGAGUGGUGAGCAGUGCACACGUGUCAUGGCUGAGCUCCAUGAAGGUAUUAGUGGGAGUCACAUCGGUGGAUGAGCUCUCUCAUCAAAGGUUGUUCGAGCAGGGUACUACUGGCCGACCAUGAGGGAGGACUAUUCAAGGUACGUACAGUGGUGUAAACAAUGCCAAUAGCAUGCCGACUCGCAUCAUACGCCCCCGAAGGAGUUGCAAUUGAUCCAUAGCCCGUGGCCUUUCCACACAUGGGGGAUUGACAUCUUGGGUCCGUUUCCCUUAGCAGUUUGCCAGAUGAAGUACCUGGUGGUAGCCAUUGAGUACUUCACUCUCAAUCCUUUUUAAAAGAAAAGUGUUUUUCAAGCUAAGUGAAAAACAACUUGUUGUUUUGUAGAAACAACAGAUUGUUUUGUACUUAGGUGUUUUUAGAAAAGGUUGAAAACUAUUUUUAUGGUUGACUUGCUGUCAAAACCAAAACAACCGAUUGAUUCGUGGAAACAACCGAUUGUUUUUUUUGGUGCCAUAACAGAAAACUGUUUUGUGCUUUGACUGAGCAUUAAAUGAUUUUCUAACUCUUUACGCUCCAGUUUUAUAUGCUUUGACCAAUCGUUAAAUGCAAUUAAUAGUUUGUUAAGAUUUGAUAACAAACAACAACUUUGAUAUAUACAGAAAAACAGAUUUGAUUAGAUUUUGAGUUUUUGAAAAGUUAAGAUUGCUUAGAGAUUGAGAUUGAUCAAAGUGUGUGAGCUAGGAUUUUCUCUUGUAUUGAUUUCAGAUUCGUUCUGUAACAAGUGUAAUCCUUGUAUCUGUUGAAAGAAACCUUGUGUGUUUGCUGAGAAGUGUUGUGUCUUGAGGGGAUCAAGAUUCUUAGUGUUGGUGUGUUGACUAAGAGGAGUGUGUGUCUUGAGGGGAUCAAGGUCACUUAUUUGGUUGUGGUGUAAGUGAUCUAGGUUUGAUUGCUUAGUGGAAUUCCUCAGUGGUUUCUGAGAAGACUGGAUGUAGCUCUGGGUUUAGAGUGAACUAGUAUAAACAUCUGUGUGCAUUCUCUCUAUCCUUAAUCUCUUUAAAUUCAGUUUUAAUAUUUGCAAACUAGUAUAAACAACCGAUUGUUUCUGCGAAACAACUGAUUGUUUUUCUGGUGCUGUUGUUUUUGCUUUGUGUUUUGGAAAACUGAAUUUCUUAUCAUUUGUUUCUCGAAGUAAUUUCAUUCUUGGCUUAAAAGUUUGCGAAAACCCUCUUUAAACAAUUCACCCCCCUCUAGUUUAAAGUCAUCCAUUCUAAUAAGAUAAACAUUUAUGUCAUUCCCUAGUUGUUUCGGACCGGAUAUCAUCAUAGACAACAUCAAGUAUUUUCGCUUCAUGCACAAUCCAGGAGGUAAGUUGUAAAUAACUAGUAAAACAGGCCAUGAAUAGAGAUUUGUACUCAUAUUACCAAACAGAUUCAUUCUAUUUAUAGCUAAACCAAGUCGAAUAUUUUUUUAUUCUUUACCAAACUCUGGAAACUCAUCAUCAAAUUUCUUCCACUGAAUAGAAUCAGUUGGAUGUCGGUACAUGUCAUCACAUUUCCUCUCAUUUGCAUGCCAUAUAAGAUUCUUAGCAUUAUUUGGGUUUGCAAACAAACGCUUCAUCCUUGGAAUGAUGGAAAUAUACCACAUAACCUUCAUUGGGGGUCCAUGCUUUUCUAUAUCUUCAAUAGUAUCAUCAUCUUUUUGUUUCAACUUAUAACGUGAUAACCCACACCUCGGACAACUUUUCAACAAUUCAAAAUCUUUUUGGUAUAAUAUACAAUCAUUAAGACAUGCAUGUCUCUUUUUAUACUCCAUACCCAUUGGACAAAGAAUCUUUUUGGCCUCAUAAUUACGAUUAGGUAGAGUAUUUCCCUCUAGAAGCAUAUCCUUCAACAACUGAAGCAAUUCCGUGAAGCUUUUAUCAGUCCAUCCAUUUAUUGUCUUCAAAUUCAUCAAUCUUAACAUCGCCGACCACCAUGUGAAGUUAGUUUAUUCAGGAUACAAUGGAAUCUCUGCACCGCUUGACAUACUUCCUUAUCCAUGCACUUCUGCAAAAGACUCAACUCCCACAUCACGAAUCAUGUCUUCCAAUCAAUCAUCAUCUACAUCAUCAUGUACUGCAUCAUCCAUGGUGGAGCCCACAUAUUCUUUAGUUACGAAAACAUGUGGUAAAUUUAACAAUUCACCAUGCCAUGUCCAAGUUUUAUAAGAUCGAAGAAACCCAUCACAUAGAAGGUGCUCCCUCAUUAUCUUAACAUCCAAUAUCCUUCCAUUUAAACAGUUAACGCAUGGACACCUGAUCUUUGCUCCAUCAUGACCACUAUUAAUCGCGUUACGUUAUGCAAAUUGUAUAAAUUCUUCUACUCCUCUUUCGUACUUAUCACUUAUGCAAAGAGAAUUAAUCCAAUUUCGAUCCAUUCUAUUUUGAAAUAGUCAUUCAGGUGAUUUUUAAUCAGUGUUCUAUCCAACACGUCUAUCGAGGGUCGAACACCUCCGGACUCAAUACCAGCACGUAUCAAUUGCCGAGGGUGGAACACACCCUCGGACUCAAUACAAACACGAUAAUUUUAUUCUAAAAUAACAUAAUAUAAAUUAAAAUUAAAAUAAACACUAAAUAAUAUAAAUUUUAAAAAAUACAAAUUUAAUACAUAAAAAAAAUCAUAACAUUAAAAAAAAUCAAAAAAUACAAAACAUCACUAACCUUGUGUGUGAAGGCAACGUUACUAAGAGUGGCACGGCGGCGGCAACGGAUGAGGCGGUGGACGCGGAAGCAGCAACGGAGCACACAAGAAACCACAGAGGAACCUACGAAGGCAAUGCAACCGUAUCAAUGAAGGCAAUGCAACAUAUGAAAAGUAUUAAUAACGCUGUAUGAACGAAAAAUACAUUGGUGAAGAAGAAAGAGAGCUCACAAACUUACCACGAAGGCACGAACGCUACAAGAAGAGAGGAACACGAAGCGCAAAUGAGAGCAUAGUGCAAACACGAAACGCUUCUGAAGAAAGAAAGAAAGAGUAGUGAAUGGCGCGCUUCUGAAGUGAAAAGUUAGGGUAAAAAUGAUUUACGAGUUCGACUAUUUGUAAUAGCCGCACUCGUAAAUCAAGCGCUUUGAUUUACAAGUGCGGCUAUUACAAAGAGUUGCAUUUGUAAAUGAACAUAAUUUCAAAAGUGUCAUCGUAUUUUUUACGAGUGCGUCUGUUCGUAAAGUCGCACUUUAUAAGGCGCCCUUGUUUUGAGCUUUUUGCACUAGUGAUUUUAAUUAUGAAUAAAUCUAUUGUUUUAAAUAGUAAUAAUCUAAUAGGGUUUAUUUGAGCCUUAACUAUUUUUACUGAUAAUCUUGUAAUUUUAGUUUAGUCACAGUAGACGGUCUAAUAUUUCUCAUAAUAGAUGGUCUAUCUAGAUAGUUUAAUAGUUACAUGGAGUAGAUGGUCCAACGAAUCCUUUGCAAAGACUUAACUAAAAGAAGCACUUUAGCAACAUCAAACUUAAUGAAGACAAUGGUGUAGAAAGACUCUGAUGUGAAUGUUUUAGACUAGACUGUCUAAUAGAAUCAUCUACUACACUGGUGCACGAGUUUGAUAGGAGUCUCUACUCAUGCGAGUGGACUUGAUCAAACAAAGUUCAAGUUCCUUCUCUGACUCAAAAACUGAAAAUGAAAUCUGAGUGAAAGAAUUGGAGACUAAAAUCUAUAAUAUCUCUAAAACAAGUUAGGAAGCAAAUCGACUGAAAAAAAAUAAUAAAGAGAAUUGUGACAGAACAGGGUACAAAAUCCGAAAAUUCUAGAUUGUUGAAAACUGAGAAUUUGUGAACAAUAUCUAAACCACAAUAGCACUUGAGAGUCAACCUACUUUUUUUAUAGUUUUUCAUCAUCUACUUUACUUUUUCGGCUAAACAUCCUUAAACUUUCUUUAAUCUUUAUAGUUAUUACUAACUUUUAUUACUUGUAAAUGAAUUGUGAACACCGUUUGACUGGAUUUAUAUUGGAGUCGUUGGAAAAUAACUUAAUAUUAAUUGAUCCUAUCUAUACUAUCAUCUCUUUAGCGUUAAACAGUUGAUCACAACGUGAGACGAUUUAUACUCAAUUUGUUUUUAAUUUGAUUAUGAAACGACAUCGAUCACAAUCUCAUACUUGAAUAUGUAUUCCAUAUCUUUGUCUUUUUUUAUCAUCCUUUAGUGGUUCAAUCAUUGUUUAGGAUUUACCAUUUAGCAAUGCAAGCUUCUAACAUGCUAGAUUAAGCCAUUGGUGUUAUUGUUUAUGCGAAUAGCUUUUUGGUUUAGAAAACUUAUUACAAAUAUGAACAUGGAACUAACAAGGAGCACACAUACAUUAGAUGACAAUGAUGUUGAUAUUUAGCAAAUAACCAAAAAAAUUCAUAAUAAAGCAAAAUCAAGUUCUAUUUUAAAAGAAAUUUAGAAAGAUGGAGAAGUACAACUUGUCUAUUAUGAAACAUAACAUAAAAAACACACAUCCUAACAAUGAAUCUACCCAAAAUUAGAAGGGAGUUUCCUAGAAAAAGAUAUGGCACAUGCAGCUUAAAUGUUAAGAAUGAGUGUUAGUGAUGUGAGUUGAUUUUAGGAUUGUUCAUAUUUUUGGUGUGACACUUUACUUAGAUUGAGAUUUUAGGAAUUUAAGAGUGAAGACCUUAGGAAAAUCCCCAUUGGACAUUAACUUAACCAAGUGGUUAAGUAGAUGUGAAGGUUCAUUUCACAAAGGCAAAAGGAAAAGACAAUUAUAAGGUGAAAAUGAUGCUAGAAGGUGCGGAAUUAAAGAACAAGGAAAAGAAACCAAAAAUAGAAUUGUCGAAUGGAAACAAGGAAAACCAAACAAGAACAUGAUACAAAGAGUAAAAAUAGAAUGACAAAGGAAGAAUAGAUGAAGGAAGGAGAAAGCUUAUGUGAUGGAUUUGAGAAGUGGAAGACGCCACUUGGAGUGUGAUUGGCCUCCAAGAUAAGUGAAGAUAGCCGCCACUUGAGAGCUCUCAAAACUCACAAGAUAAGACCUAAAUGCUAAGAGGAAUUCCAACCUCACUAACACAUCACACAAUUUGUGCAGAGUAACUCUUCUUUUAUUAAUUUCAACUAGUCAAAUACAUUAGGUAGGUCUCCUAUUUAUAGGUGAAGGAGCCUUGGAGAACAAGAUAAAAUGGUAGGAUGGGAAAAGGGAAAAAAUGGACAACCUUAGGGUUUGACCGCAUCCUAGGCUUGUCCUUCUAGAAACUAGGUCAAAAUGUCUUCCAAAAGGGCUAGGAACAAGCAUUUUAGCUUAUUAUGCUAAAGGUACCUUAUUCUAGCCUAUAUUUGCUAUUUAGACCCCAAAAGUAAGUCCAAAUUAUUUACAACUUAUUUUAUUCUUAAGAAGACCAGCAGGAAGAACUUGAGAUGCUCUGGUCUUUGUCCAUUUCUCCCUCUGGUGAGGUCUUCACUUCAAUGUUGAGAUGACCUUUCAUAGUUUGCAUCUUUGGUCAUAUUCUUGUUGUCUUGGUUUGUAUCAGACAAUUGAUCCAUGUAUAAAAAUAUCCAUUAUGUUUCUCUUGAUUUUUAGGUGCUAAAGAGUUAAAUAAUAUUUUUUAAGAAACUUUUUAGGCUAUAAAGAAUUCAUAUUAUUUGAUUUGAUUUUUAAGAAUUUGUUAUUUUAAUUAGCUUUUGAUUUUGUGUACUUUUUUUCACCUCAUCAAUGUUUAAAGUAUAAAUUUACAUUUCACAAUUGAAUAAAAGAAAUGUCUUCUAAAAAAUAUAUCCUCUAUUUUUUUCAGCCAAUUGUAUAUAUUUUAUAUAACCAACAGAAAUAUAUAACAACUGCAUUGAACUGCAGAACAGAUUGAAGAAGAACCACAAGCACAUGCAAAUUAUGACAGACAAAACAAACAAAACAAAAACAAAGGAAGUGACAACCGUAAGACCCCUCUUUGUUCAAACUAUCUUGAAUCAUGGUCAUGAUUUUGGAGCCUCUCAGCAACUUGGCUCAUGUUGGGUCUCGCGUUUUUCUCUUCCUCUACACAUUCCAGAGCCACCGUUGCCAAUAUCUCCAUUUCAUUCAUGUCAUAGUUCGAUCCCAAAGCAGGGUCAACGAUCUCAUCCACCCAAGAUGCUCCCACUUCUGAUCCUUUCCUCUUUUUCUCCCUCACCCAUGUCACCAAUCUCUCAUUAUGACCUGACUCUGAUUCUGACUCUGUGAAUUGGACACCUGUUGUUGGGCUCCUUCCAGUGAUUAUCUCCAAGAGAACAAUGCCAUAGCUGUACACAUCAACCUUGGAAGUGAUUGGCAAGUUGAAAACCCAUUCAGGUGCCAUGUAACCUCUUGUUCCUCUUAUCCUUGAGAAGCUUGAAUUGUUGACAUUGUUCCGGUUAAGUAGCUUAGACAACCCAAAAUCCCCUACUUUUGGUUUAUAAUCAGAGUCAAGAAGUAUGUUUUGAGGCUUGAUGUCACAAUGCAAAACCCACUCCAAGCAUUCUUCAUGCAAGUAGGCCAGACCCCUUGCUGUUC